GAAAAAAUAAGUUUGUAAAUGAAUACAGUAAUUUAUUUCCACAUUCAUGGGUUAAUAGAACACAAAUUUCUUCCAAGAUGCCACAUGAAAGAAUAACUGACAUAAUAAUAUGAAGACGACAUAAUAAUAUGAAGACGAGAACGACAAUAAUAAGGGACCUAUCACCCAACUGUCUGGGUAAGCUACAGGAUUUUUCCUAUCACCGAGUUUGAUCAAGAGGCGCCUGCCUACUUGGAGGGUAGUUCACACCAGGGACUCCUAAUUGACUCAACUUAUUAUGUUAAUAUAAGCUCAGCUACUUGUCUUUUUUUUCUUUCCAACAAACAUCUUCAGAGUACUUGGUGAAUAUAAAGGAUAUAGGUGUGCAAGAUGGGCAGGCUAACCUAAGCCCAAACUGACAUAUAGCACAGGGUUUGGCAGGAUUCAGUUUGGACCAUUGGGAAUGGGCUAAAAAGUGUCAGUGGAAACUAGCAAUUCGGUCAGGAUUGGGCUGAGGGGUUAGGUAAUGGUAGCCCAACUCAACCUCUCUACAAAGUAACAAAAGAGAAAUCCCUUGUCAUAAUGCCCCCUAUAGGUUACCCAGCUGCUGCCCCUAACAUCUAAGUUGUAACUCAUCUUCUUUCUUUUUCACAAUGUUUGACACCAGUUGUCCCUUCAUUGUCUCAUAUCUCUCGAAUCCUUUAUUACCGUCACAAAUCUAUAUCCGUCAAACCACUCUCUCUCAUGGUGCAGGAAGCAUUGUCCUCCAUUGCCUGUGCCACCUCCAGCAAAGUUGGUCACUUCUCCAUCAGUGGUGCAAGUGGCCACCUCACCGACCUUGCUCAUGAUGCUUUCCCCUCCUACUGGCACUAUCACCAUCUGAGACCAAAAUUUUAAAUGUUUGAGUUUUGACAAUCUUCUAUAUUCCUAUUCUGACUGAAAAUAUUUGUCUUAUGCAUCUUUUUUCUAUUUAAAAUCUCUUGUGUUUGCUUUUACAUUUGAAUUUAUUUUAGUGGAUUUGUUUGCCCUUGUUAUGAUUUGGUGAUUCUUUUAAUGGUUUAAGGUUUAGUUUUAGUUGGGUGGUAGAGAUUGGAGAUGUUGACGAGCCCCUCAUGUAUCACCCAACUAACUCAGGCCAACCUUACCAGACCGCUGGCUAGCCUUGAGUUACAGGAACCCAUUUCAGGGUUGGGACAGAGUGGCUCAUUAAAAAAAAUCAUCAAAAACUUGUGUUGGUUUUGGCUCUGCAGUAAUCCAAUCAACUGGCUAGGUUCAAACCCUAUUGGGUACAUCAUACCACCUUAUAAACUAUUUACUCCCAUUUUAUUUCUGAUUGAAUCUAGCAACUUUGCUAUUGACCCCAUACACCCAUAAUAACAUCCUUGUCUUAUCGACAAUGGUUUGCCGUACCGAACAGUACCGCCCGGUACGGGCGGUACGUACCGGUCCGAUAGACUUUCGGUACCGAACAUCUGAUCUUACAACCAUGGUUUGCCGUACCGAACAGUACCGCCCGGUACGGGCGGUACGUACCGGUCCGACAGACUUUCGGUACGCGGACCGCCUCUUACCGUUCCGGUACUUUCGGUACGCGGACCGCCUCUUACCGUUUCGGUCGGUACACCCGUACCGUACCGUACCAAUCCUUCUUUAAGUUUAUGUAUCUUCAGGAAUGGUUUCUUCUUGUUAAACAAUCUAAGAAACCUGAAACUCUAAUUCUUGAAAAUUUCUUGACUAUAUUCCCUCAAUUUUUCUCUUUGUAUUGCUAAAGUUGCAUGUCAUAAACCAGUAUGCAAGAAUUAAAUAUCAUAAAUGAGAAAAUACUAACCAACAAGAAGGAAAUGAAAAGAAUUGUCAAACCAUGGAAUAUUUAUUCAGAGGUAGAGCACCAUAAGGUACUAGCCUAGGAGACUGUGCUGUCUCAAAGGUGUCAUUGCCAAUUUUGCAAUGUGAUGAGCAUGUGAGCCUUAGUAUGUGGCCCACGCUGUAACAUGCUAGCACAUAACGAACAAAAGGUUGUUACAGUAAAGGCGAUCCUUGGAUGAAAACAACAAUUCAAAAAUCGUUUUACAAGGCAAAGUAUUAGUGAGAGACUAUCCAACUCAUCUCAAAUUAAGAAAAUGAGACUCAAUGGGAAACAAGAAUAAAAGAAACAUAAAGCAUCGUAUGCUUUGUGGUGUAGAUAAAUCUACAGAACAUGAUUGACACGAAGCGCAAAACAGAAGAUAUCUAGGAAGUUCUUUUGAGUUACUUGAUCUAAGUAAAUUAAGCAAUAAGCCACAUUAAAAAAUAUGAUUGGCAUUGUCGCAACUUGCUAGGAUCCCCCACACUCAGGUAUUCAUAUGAACAACAAAAACAUGAAGUUAAUUCAAGUAUUCAACAAAAACAAACGAUAAGCCUCUGAGAAGACUCAGAAGGAUUUAUGUUACAAAUUUCUAAUCAAACAUGUAGCCAAAAAAAUACACCAGACAAGGAAGUAGUAAUAGAAAACUAAUUAAGAUUAUAAAAGAAUACAAACAUGGUCCAAGCAUUCCACCAAUCAAUCUAAAAGUUUGAAAAUAAGGACUAAUAUUAUGCACCUGUAUGCAAUUGCAUUAGCUUUUGUCCCAGUGAGCUAGACAAUGUAGUAAACGAUCCACAUUUUGAAGAUUCUUUGUAUUCAGCUACUUGUGAUAAUGUUAGAGAAUGUCCGUCCAACAUACUAGCCAAAACAGAAGUUGAUUCGAUCCGUACCUGUAGAUAAAAGGGAAGAAUCGAUUGAACAUACAAAUAGGUAAUAGGAAAAUAAAACACAACCACUUGAAAGAAGAGGUUGACAGAUUCCACAGAUUACAAACAGUAAUGCAAAACCAAGAGAAGAUAUAAUCUUCCUCGACAAAUGUGCAUGUAUGCUCCUCGGUAAGAAAGAAAACAUCAUAUAUGCAGUGAGUGGCAAAGCAGGGAAUUUGACGUGUUAGAAAAGUCUGCAGUAAAAAGUAAUCAACUCCAUAAUGGAGUCAUGCUAUGAAGCACAGACACAGACACAACACGAACACAUCGAGGACACAAAUUAUAUUUAAUAUAUACAUAUAUAUAUAUAAUAUUCCAUAACCUUUUAUAGUCUCUCCAUACACUUACUAAUGUAGCUUAUUAAUAAAAUAAGUCCAAUUUCCAUAACAAUUGUUGGAGCUUAUUAAUGUUGUAGUCAUGAUGCUGCUAUCUCUGUGUUACUAAUGAACAUCUAACUUGCAGUUUGGACUUAAACCAAAUGGAUUUUUUUGUCAUGAAGAAGAACACACUCCAAGAUGCGCUUUGUCCCUACAAUCAUGAAUCAACUACUAGAAUAAUAUGUUAACAAUUUAACUACUAAAAAAAUAAAUUUACCUACUAGAAUAAUCAGCAGUAAAAAAAACCAGGUUAGCAAUAAAAACUCAGAUUAAAACCCCAGAUUUUAAAACCCAGAUUCAAAAACUAAAAAAAUAAAAUAGGUAAAUUAAUUUACCUUCGUUGGACGCCAUCCAAAUUAAAAAAAUAAAAAAUAAAAUAGGUAAAUUAAUUUACCUUCAUUGGACACCGCUGAGAAAGAAGCUUCGCUGGAUGCCGACAAGGUCGCCAAGGGCCCGAGAGCGUGCGACGGCUACCGGGUCGCAGGUGGGUCACUCGGGGCGAUGGGUCCAACAACACGACGACAAUGCGAUGGCCAUAGAGGGGUGCUCGGAGCGAAGGGCAUGAGAGCACGACAACGUGCAACAACAGAAGGGGGCUCAGGGCGAAGGGCUCAAUCAUCACAACAACACAAGACGACAGAGAGGCGAGCUCGGGGAGGAGGGCUCGAGAGUGUGACAGCACGCGACGAUAGAGAGGGGGCUCAAGUUAGAUGGCUCGACAACACGACAAUGCGCGACAGCCAUCGGGUCGCAGGUGGGGCACUUGGAGCGGAGGGCUUGGUAGCGCGACUCUGUCAGAGGCUUCGCAGGGACGCAGGUCAGUUGGCAAGGGGCGGGGCCAAAGGAUGAUGAUGGGACGCAAGUGGGGAGCAGGCUUCGCUAGACCGAAUGCAGGCGACAGGUGGGGCAGAGCCUGCCUCUUCCACAGGUGGGGCGAAGCAAAGGCUACACCGGUGAGGAAGAAGGGAAGCCGGUGAGGAAGAAGGGUUCAAUCGAGUCUUAAGGUAUUUAACGCCAACGAUAGGUAAGAAAAUCCUUCCUCAAUUCGUGAGAAAAAGGAUUCCAAGCCUUCACAGUCCACUAGCAGUGAGGAAUCCCAGUUUCACGACACCUUCGCAGUCGUGGCACAGAAUCCCGACUUCGACAUUCUAAGUCGUAUCCAACACAAUUAAAAAAGAAAAUGACAAGGCUGGACAGACGUCCAACACGUGUCUGAAUGUGUCAAUGACGAAUCCGUGUCUGACACGUGUUAGACACGGGUAUGCCACUUAAUCUAGCAUGUCCAUGCUUCAUAGGAGCCAUCUUUACUGGUGGCAUUGCAGUUUGUUCUUCAACAAUAAAGAUGAGCUUCUAGAAAACCGGCUUUUGAAAAAGCUUAAGUAUAUUUCACAGGUAAAAGGCAUCAAAGGGAAGUCCAUAUGAAGACAAAAAACACACAACAGACUUUCAAAAAGCUUACCUUUAUUAUGGGAUCAAAGAGCAAACAUGUCAUCAGAUUAGCCUCGAAUUUUCUGCGGAACAACAAUUGCACAAAGUGAUGGUAAAAAGACAAAAUAAAGAAAAAAAAGCUCAUAGCAUCAAAAGGUCAAUUGAGUCGAACCUUGAUUGUAGCACAUCAUUCUCAGGUAAAAGUAGCAUCCAGAGAGAAGUAAGUGACUUUGGAUCAGCAUGGCAAAGAUCCUUAGAAUAGAAAUAAAACAAGUACAAAAUGCUCUCAGCACACUAUUUUGAAAUAGCAAUAGAUUUCAGAAUUUUGACAACUGGAUGGAACCAAAAAUUACAGGACCUAGUAUCAACUAUCAAGCAUGGUAAAAGCAAGGCCUCCAACCUAAAAAUCUAAUAGCUUUAUGUUUUAACUCAUCAUGCAUCUAUACAGAUUUUUAAAUAGGUCUACAUUAAAAGAAAGGAUGACUACAUCUCAAAUCAAAUAAUCAAUAACCAGCUUCUAUUCUAUGGCCCAUUAGAAAACAUUUUCGAAUUUUUGUUUCAUAAAGUUCUCCAACUACUUCAAAGAAAUUUUAAAGAGCAUAUGAAAGAUAUAUUCAGCUCUAAUUGGCAAACAACUAAGAUUUAUGCACACAAACCUAUCAAUGGAGCCUUUUGCAUUACCUGUUGCAUCUACUUGUCAUUCACUGCUUAUUUGGAUGAUCUCAAGUCUCAACUACUAUCAACUUCCUAACAGUCUAACAGCCAAGGCAUCAUUAGAAGAAUAAUGUUUUUACAAGCUACAGCUAACAUCAAAUAUCUCGACCUUAUGAAAAAUAAUUCAGCUUAACCAUCUUACUUUUUGAGCAAAAUAGCAGCUUUAAGUCCUGACAUGGGACUUAAAGCACCCUACAACAAUACAUCUUUUCUUUAGUUGAUAAGAUUGCAACAAACCUGAACUUGCAGAAAAGUUAACCUGAGGGAUUUAAUGUAAACAAGAAAGUACCUGUAUGCAAGUAAGUGCAGCCAACCUAACUUUUGAGCUUCUGAAACGGUCUAUAUGCUUAGAAGAGCCAUCGCUAUCACUAUGAUCCGAAUCUGAUGAUGUGAAACCAUAUUUUGAAGGCACAUGGUCUGAAGAACACUGAGCAUCCAGUGUGUCAUUAUUAGGACCAUCCUUCUUGCGCAAGUGUGGUGGUUUAUAAGGACCGGGAACACUUUUUAUGGAUUCCCCCAACCCAGAUUUUAUGCCAGAAGAAAUAAAUGCUUUUUCCUUCAAAUCACUGAUCAUAGGUCGUAAUGAAGAUCUACUGGGGAGACCAUACACAAGAAAUAAUUGCAAUGUUGCUACCAAACCUGGCACCUUAGAUUUUCACAAAGAAAGUUAUCGAAGGUUAACUAACAAAAUUCAUUCAAAAUAAAGACACAGCAGAAGCUACAGACAUACAUGCCCUGAAAGAGAACCUUUUGGCUCCAAAAGAACCAAAUGCAGACAAUUAAGAAGAUUCAACAAAAGCCUGCAAAAAGAUAAGAGGUUAUAUUCAAGACUUCUGCUUGUCCAAUUAUGGGAAAAAAGUACCUUGACAUGACAGAGUUUUCAAGCAGCAAGUUCUUCGACACCAAGUAAUCUAUUACUUUCCUCAAUACCUGGUGACAAGAUAAAAUAUGCCACAGCAACUAUAGAUACAGAGACAAGUUAAAACAAAGAAAACAAGUCACCUCAAUUGUUGAUUGCCAUAAGUUGGCCGGGAUAGAAGUUCCAAUUCCAGUUAAAGCAUCACACAUCAUGGAAAGUGCAUGAGUUUGUAUGUCCCAUAAAAUGUUGCAUAGAGGAUUUCUAUGUCCAGAAUCAUUGAAAGGACUGUGGGUUCCAUGUGGAUGAUGUAGGCUAAAUAACUCAGCAUGCAAGCAUGAAACAAGACAAACAAGAAGCCUGACUAACUCCAUAAUCUCAGAUAAUGAAUUGUUUCUUCUAUAUGCUUUGACAGCAAGCCUGAAAAUUUUGGUAAAGAAUUAUUUGUCAUAUAACUUACAGCAUCCAAAAAUGUGAAAGGUAUUUGAUUUUUUAAAUGCAGAAACCAAAAGAUGAUACCUUCUAAGCACCCAAAAAAUGGUUUAUUUAGUAAUAUUAUAAUCAUGGCAUUUCUACACAAAUACCUCAAUGACAUCCUCUGAUAUAAUGAUGCCAAGGUAGCACCUGACUUUCUUAUCAUGGUAAAUUUGGACAGAAAACUUGUACAGAAGUAAAAACAAAUCUGUGUUCUCUGACCGGUUUCCUAUAGUGAGCUUGAUCAGAAAAGGCCUGAGUCACCAGACACUUAUUUGUCUCAAGAUACCUAAAAAACAGAAGCAGGAUUAGGUGAUGAGCCAACAACUAGGUAGCAGCUCAGCUGGAUGGCAUGCUGGACAGCAUGUUUUAUGCUGACUCAACCAACCAAAAUAACCAGCCAAAGCACUGGUUGGAUUUAUUGAUUUUGGCACUGGCUUAAACCAACUAAUUUUCUCCCAUGUGCAGAAGCCAACAAUCAGCCCAACUGCAUUACUGAAUUAACAUGAAGUGGUCUGAUCGACCCAAAUGCUUAUCAGCCAUCCUGAGGUUUCCCCUUCGUGAACGCUGUUGACAAAGCAGCAACUGCUAGCUAAAUGACGCUCACACAAAUUGUGAAAACUUGGGAUCAUGACAAACUUGAUAUAAAAAAAAUUAAUCACACACAAGUUUACUGAAUUAAUGGUCCAAAGAAAGGAAUAAGGCACCAAGGAUCCAUGUGACAGACUUGUGACUACUACAAUGUGCCCUGCUCAAGACAUCACCUGCAGUUUCUUGCUAUCCAAUGUGCCCUGGUUAAGACAUCAAGAACUCAAGAAAUCAAAACUGAGAUAUUGAACCCAUAUCAUUUAAACUCUAGAGGAUAUAGAUGCCCACAUUAGAUGAUGCAAGUUGAUUAGAAUUAUUGGUGGGAAAAAAGCUAGAGGAUACCUAAAAAUACUUUGUUGGAAAUCGACCUAAAUAAAGCUCAAUAAUAGCAGGAAAAAGGAUCCAUGUAGUCAUCCCCAAAUAGCCGAAACUAAGAAUGGUGGUCAUUGCAUAUUCACUGUACCGAUACUGAUAAAGUAUGUUAGUACCAGGCUACCAGCAUAUAUUGCAUGGUUCAUCUUACCGGUCCGUACCAAUGUACCGACCAGCUGUCGGUACGGUACAUAUCGAGCUGUACCAAACAUACCAACACAUGGUACAUGGGAGCAUACCGAUGUACCGCCAAUACCGGUCCCCUAUCGGACUGGUACAUACCGCCCGUACUAAGUGGUAUAACAUAGUACGACGAACCUUGAUAUAUUGUCCUCACUAAUAUCACUAAACAAAUAAAGCAUAAGUAGAAGCAUCAUAUAACUCAAUAUUAUAUGAUACAUUAUCUACAGGCCUGAUACAGUCAGUACACUAAGGUGUUUAAAUCCAUGAACAUAAAUGAGUGAAUCGGUGACUAGGGCUACAAGUUUAGCUCAACAAUCCCAGACAGACUGUACGUGGCUUUCUAAUACAGAGAUGCUUUGUAAUGAGCCCAAAUAAACAUAACAUGCAUGAUCAUCACAUGAGCCAAGCAAGAACUUGUCUGCAUGAUCGAUGCCAAUGAUGCCAGCAUUAAAAUGAAUGUGCCAAGAUUGACGCAGGCUUAAUCAUGAUCAGACCAAACACUACCUUUGGACUGGCAACCAAUCUGAAAUUUAGCUAUGCUCAAAUAUCAUCUAGGUUCGAUUAACCAAGCUCGUACAUGCAUUUAUUAUUUCAAAUAUUUUUAACAGGCCCGGCUAUGAUGCUCAAAUAAUCCUAUAAUGAAUGUGGUUGAAACAAAAUGAUAUAUAAGUAACUACAGAAUUUCAAAGAGCAACUACUGUGAUUAUGUUGGGCAAUGCCUAAAUGACCUUAGAUAGUGCAAACAGGAGGUCUCCUCGACAAGGCAAUCUUUUCGUCACUGCCAAUUUCACAUAUUACACAAAAAAAUGGACUUAGACAUCAGGUUGUUAUGAUGAAAUCUAAAGAUAAAUGCAUAGUAAUACAACUUCAAGAAUUCUCUUAUUUAUCUUUUUGCUUCAGAUGAAAACAACAUAUGCAGAUUGUGUUGAUUCAUUAUCAACGAACAAACACCAAGCAAGUGAACAAGAACUGAGAAAGAAGGCUGAGAACUAUUAACAAAAUUGUUAUAGUUCACUAACCUGAGAAUAUCUAAGACCUCGGUUAGUGCUUUCAUUCUAGAAGUGUCGUCCAUACAAACACUACUAUUAUCAGUAUUACCAAGCAAGUGCUCCACAACCCUUUUAAGAAUGUUCAGUAUUACGGUCCAAGAAGAAGAACUAAUGCCAAGGAAGACUUUGCAACUAACAGCAUGUAUCUGCACUGGAUAUGAACAGCAUCAGGGGCAGUAAAUGGUAAUGGCAGCAUGUAUAAUAAAACAAUCUCUGAUUACAUAUUAAGACACAAUGUCAUACCAACAAUUAUUAAUGUCAUACCACUAGAAAACCAAAUAUCACAAAAGAACAGAAAAUAUAGAAUUUCAAACACAAAAAAAAGGAAAAUUUUAUAGAAUCUCAAACACACUUGAUGAUAACAUUACAAGACAUGCAAAGCCUAUGACUAGUAUCAGACAAAGAUAUCAUCUUUUCCCUGUUAAAAAGGAUAUCAACCUAAAAUCGAUAGCACAUUUACAUAAUGCAAUUUUGAAUAAAAUUCAUGGAUCAAAAGGGACUAAUCAUUCCAGAGGUUUCACCUUCACGCAUUCUAGUACGAAACCAUCAGUACAAAGAUCAUGGUAUAAAGCAUGACACAUGAUGGCCACAGACAGGUAAAGCACAGGACAGUCCACGAUAUAAACUUAAUUUCUGAGGUCAUAGAAUUUUCUAUACAUAAGUCAGAGAAGAAGAACAUCUCAAGAAACUGCUCAGAUUCAUUACUUACUGUCAUUGAUGGUACUUCCAGGAACUUAAUCUCUGUCGCCAGAGGAUUUUCAAUCCACCAAAUUUUGGUCAUAGAAGAAUGUAUCUACAAAGAGAUAAUAAACAAUUAUUUUGCUCUUAUUGUUUUUUAUUCUUAUUAGAAUCUUGGUCUAUCUUUCUAAAGAGAUUUUAAAUUGUGGCUGUCUUUGGUUUCUUUGACUAGGGAGGGGUAGAGUACUUGUUUCCUCAGUGUGAGGAUGCUUGUUGACCAAAGCGCCAAGCUCUACUUAGCCAAAAUAAAAGUUUAUGGAAGAACAAACAAAAUUCAUCGGGUGCAUCGUCCUUCUGAAUCCAAAAAAAAGAAUCCUACCGAUGAUCUAAAAUUCUCAACCCGUAUGCAUCAGAGCAUCUAAUUUGAUAUACUGAACACUAGAAUCCUGAAGAUAUAAUCAAAGAAAAAUCAGCAAGUUGUAUCCCAAGCCCCAGUGACUUGGAUCACUGUUUCGAAUAGCUAGAUCAUCGAAGGAACAACUUGAUGCAUCAAGAUCAACUUGAUGCAUCAAGAUCAACUUGAUGCAUCGAGAACGCAAGAAAGCACAAAGAAUACCAAAUGGCACGUCCACAGCAACACAUCAUCCACAUCUUUGCACACCGAAGCCGCCGACGCCAGCUCAGCGAGCAGAACCAAAUCCGAAGUCACCUGAAACCAUCAAAUCUCGCUCCCUCAGGAACAACCCAAAGAUCAAAAAGAAGGGUUCGAGAACGGGAUUCCAGCGUCACCUCGUGAGGGGGCAGAUCGGUUGCGGCGGCGACCAUGGCGUCGGAGGGGUGGGAGAGGAUGAGAUCGCGGAGGAGAGCGAGCAGGGCGGGGGGAGGGGGCGAGGCUAGGGUUUCGUCUCGGAGGGUGAGGAACGCCGUCCGCCAGCAGCGGACGCCGGAUGAGGACGGCGCCAUAGCGGGACCCGUUUCCAACCCGGACUUCAUUUCUGGGUUUUUAAACGAGCGAGGCGGAAUGCCGGAUGAAGACGACGACGCCGGGCCCAAUUCCAAGCCCGAGUUCUUUGGUGGAACGAUCCACACAUCGGGCCCUUAAUCUUCGAGUCUGUUGAGGGUAUACAUGUAAUUUUGGGAAACGUGCAACAAUGAAAGGCUGGGAAUUGAGUCUCUUGACACGCAUGAUUUGAAUUAAGUUAUAUGGUGUAAUAAAAAUAAACCCUAUUGUGAUGAUUAUUUUGAUGGUGUAAUCGGGCAUCAUAUUAUGCUGUAAUCAUAUUAUUGCUUCGACCGUCCGAACAACUGAUUUUAUUUAUCUAAAAAUACUUUUUUAAAAUAUAUAUAAUAUAAAUUAUUAAAAAAUUUAAAUAAUAUAAUAAAUAAUAUUAGGCAUAAAAAAAUUAAUAACAGCAAUAAUACAGUAAAUAAUUUAAAAAAAUCAACCAUCAUUUUAAACAUAAAUUUUUAGCUAGAUUAAAUAAUAUCUGAUGAUAUCCAAAAUAUGAAUUAAAUCCAAACAAAGUGUUCAAUAAUAUAAAAGAAAUAGUCAUUAUGAUCAAAUGUAUAUUUAUAGUUUAUCAUGUUGGUGAUGAAAGGGUAAAGGAUGAUGAGAAAGUGAAGGGAGAUUUGAGAUAGACGACCAGAGAGGGUGGCCCAAAUAGAGAAGCAAUUACACGAGUGAGCUCACUUUCUUUCUCACGUCAUCCUAAUCUCAAAAUUAUCAUACAUAUUUAUAUUCAAUAAAAAAAUAUUUAAGUAAUUUUAGCUAUAUUUAUAAUUUAUAAAAUUGGAUCGGUUUUAAUGAACAAGAAUUGUGACGUGCCAUUUGUAUUGGAUGGCCCGGACCGGGUUCGACCCCAGCGGCUUAAUGGGCGGUCUUUUUGCUCCGAUUAGAAAGUAUUCGUUAUGGACCGGGUUCAUGGGCCUCAAUGUCGUGCGCCAAGCAAUCAUGACUGGGGUCCGCCUUAGAAUUACCAUGGUGCGCUCUGUGCUGGCUCGACGCGGGCUCCAUAUUGGGUGGGCCCGAAAUUUGGGUGGUCAAAAAAUCUCGAGUUACCAAAUAAUACGGUGCUAACUCGGAUGAUGCGAUAAAUAUGCACAAGACUUGACUCUCGGUAAUAGAAUUUGAGGAGGUCAGAGAGGAAGAGAGAGAGAGACGGGCUGUGCACGUGUUAACCGUGGAAAAGCCGACCCAACCUGCCGUGCAUGUGUUUCCGAACAGGACAAGUAUAUAUAUAGACGUAUAUGGCGUGCCUAAUGAUGGGGGCCAGUCCACGCCGGGACCCACGGGCUCGCCUAUCCACAUCAUUGUCGCUCCUUCGUGGGGCCCGUCCCCCACUCACCCUCCUCCGUAGUGUGCCAGUCAUGAGAGAACAGGUUACUCGCUGAAGCUACUUGCUAAUUAGGCAAAACUUGGACAAGGCCAUGGCGGAGGACAGACAAAUGGAGAUGUACUUAAGUGGUCAUGGCUUUGUGGGUUUCUGCAAUGGCUGAAAGCUGAGCUAGGGUAGAAGCAUGAUGUUAGAAGGUGGAAAGGGGCGGUGGGGACGACGCCAAAAGAAAUCUAAAAGGAAAAGGUGAUGGAUGGAUGGAUGGAUGGAUAGAAGGUGCGGGCGGUCCCACACACGCUGGAGUGGGCAGUGGAGGUGGCUGUUCAAUUACGUCUCCGGCAAUGUCCUCCUCUUUAAUCGGAGGUGUGUGUAGUACUUUGCAAAUCCGACUCCUAUUUGCUUGCAUAACCUGAUAAACCAAUAUCAUUACCUCUGUCGAGCUUGUCAUUCUAAGCUCCCACUUUGUUUGUGGCUGGAGACUGUUCCUAACCCUCACAGACAACAACAACUCUAUUUAUCAUGUAACGCAGAAACAAAAGCAGAAGAAACUGUUUAUGUUUUUCGAGUCAGAGAAGAGGGGAGAGAGAUGCGUUAGUUCUGAUGAGCUCAUCAAGUAGGUCAUCUUUUGAUCCACACAACUCAUUCAUAGGUUUCCGUGACACCGAUAGAACGCUGUUCGACCAUUAUUAUUAUAUUUACAUGUAAUAGAUAUAUACAUACAUACCAAAAUAUGAUAUAUAUAUAUAUAUAUAGAUAUAUCUUUGAUUUCUUUAGCAUUUGCAUAGUGGGAAGGUGGGUGAAAGCGGAUGAGCCUCACCGAAGCUUUACUUAUUAUACCCGCUGUCCCCCGUUUCCGUUCUCUGCAACUCUCUCUCUCUCUCUCGCUCUCGCCCGUCUCCUCUCCAUCACCUUCUCGCUCGUCGGCACGCGAGGUGGUUGCAGAGGAGGCUUUUGAUCUUUCUCCCUACAAUUUUUUGGGUGGCAGAAGAAAGCCUGAGAGACAUGUUAUCCAUGACCAACACUUGAAAAGUUGCCAUCUCCCAUUUAUUUCUCCACCACUGUUCUCCAGCUGCCUCUUUUCUUCCUUUCUUCUCUAUCUCUGCUGCGUCUUCUUGUUGGGCUCGGAUCAUUUCACUUCACGUACUGGCCAAUCCGAAGAAAUUUGACGUUGUUGAGUGGUUCAAGUCCCAAGACAGGUUUGAUCCGUCUUCGUGCUCCCCUCUGAGAGAAAAGUGCGGGAGAACGAAAGAUCCAGAUCUUACCUGCUUAGAUCUCAGUGCCUUCAUCGCCGUCUUUCUCCAGGUAAUACCUACAGGUGAGCUUUCCAUACUGAGAAUGUUAAAUUUCGUCGAUCAUGGAUAUCUGCGUUUCUCCUUGAAGGAAAUUAGGUCAGCGAGUUAAGAUGCAACUAAAGAUCUCCAUGGUUUUCUUCCUCUUCUCGUUAUUUUGUCCACUUCGGUGGAGAUCUGCAUGUCAAGUUAAUCAUCGCUCACCGCACGCCCUAAGCAUCCUCAUGAAAGCAUUUCUUAGAAAUGCACCUUGUUCAUGCGAUCUACAGUCCUCGAUCAACGGAAUGAGAGAUCCAUGGCAUAGAGAAGCGCGAACAUGAUCGUUACGAGAUCUGCUUCACUUCUUUUCUCGCAAGAUGUUGCGACAAACACUUAAAUGGAAGGAGAUAUUUCAUGGGUGGAUUAGUGAACUACGUAUGAGCUUUGUCCAUAUAUAGCGUGACAACAUUCUCUUGAGCUAUUCUUGAGGACCUUCAUGCGUGAUAUAAAUCAUUGCUAUAUUGCUUUGUUCAGAAACAAAGAGAAAUCUCACUAGUGAACCAUCGUUCUUUUGUAGGCCACAUUUUUACGAGACAUUCCUUGAGGAUAUCCACCGGAUCAAAUAUAUGUCAGGAGCCUUUUUUAUCUUCCUUUGAGUCUUCGAUGGACCUCAAACCUAAGUUGUGACGAAUGUCUAGCGUGUAGAAGGCAACAGAUGUGUUGGGAAAACAAAAUGAAGAAAAUAGUUGAACAAAAUGAAGGUCAAAACAUAUUUUAUCUCACUAAACAUGCAACUUAUCUUCAGGCUUUGAUGCUUUUCAAAUACUUUCAUUCAGAAUUGCAAGUUCAUUUGAUACCAUAGGAAAACUAAUAAGAUUUACUGUGGCAAUGCUUAGCAUAAAAAGAAAUCUCAUCUUUUAUAAUAGAAAUAAGGUGUUUUCUAACUGUAAUAGGGUUCAACAACUGUCAUUCACAUAUGAUGAUGGAAGAAAUGUUUGACAUUACUAAAGCUCGAGAGUUGCAUAUGAUCUCCCUAAGGAGUAGUGCUGAUAUAUGAUGGUUUUAUGCCAUGCAUGUAUUCCAGGGUGCAGAGAAAAGAAGAACUGACAUAUAUAUAAUUACACUUCUGCAGAGAAAUCUUUGGUGCAGUGAUACUCCAUCACAGCAAAGAUAACUAUGCUUAUUAUCAUGACAUGGUUUGCAGGACUUGGCGCAACAUCACGGCAAGAGUAUGAACACCAUCUCGCACGUUCCACCGGGCUUUCGGUUCCACCCCACCGAUGAAGAACUGGUAGAUUACUACCUGAGGAAGAAAGUGGCUGCAAGAAAAAUCGACUUAGACGUAAUAAAAGAUGUGGAUUUGUAUAAAAUCGAACCUUGGGAUCUUCAGGGUACAUCUCACACAAAACCUCAAGUACUUCUGCUCCUUUCAGACUUGAACUGAUCAUGUUUACACCAUCACAUAGAGAUCUGUAGGAUAGGAGCAGAAGAGCAGAACGAGUGGUACUUCUUUAGCCACAAGGACAAGAAGUAUCCAACCGGAACUCGAACUAACCGAGCAACCACAGCUGGAUUCUGGAAAGCCACUGGAAGAGACAAGCCGAUUUACUCCAAGCAUAGAUUGGUCGGAAUGAGGAAGACUUUGGUCUAUUACAAGGGUCGAGCACCAAAUGGUCAAAAGUCAGAUUGGAUCAUGCAUGAAUACCGUCUUGAAACAAGUGAAAAUGGACCUCCACAGGCAAGUUUAUUCUCAUUUAAACUUCACCUUCUCAUGUCAAAGACUGAUAGAACAACGAUGGCUCAUGCAGAGCAUGCAUUCAUAUCUACUCUAAUAUUCUUCUUUAAAGUCUGCAAACUAAAACGCCACCAUUGCCGUCUUAGCUAAACUCCUUUAAAAUCGAUAGCCACAUAUAUAUACAUGUCCUGAUCUUAUACAAAACAUUUACAUCUUAUACCAGAAUGAUUAUAAUUAGAUAAACCACUUGCAACAUACGAUAUAAUUAAUUAUACAAGAAAUUCAAGUGGCUUUGGUUGGUUGCAUUUUUGACUUAGUUUAGCCUGAAUUAAGCAGCUUCAUGUUGUGAUUUACUCGACUCUUUCAUCUGCUACGUUUAGUCUAAAGCGUUUACUGCAGAUUGAAACAAUAACCAAGUUCAUAUUCCCGGCAAUUCCUUGAUAUUUUUAGUCUUGAAGUGCCAUGUCUGAAUAGAUUCUUGCAAAAUUGAUCUCUUCUUGCAAGUGAUGAUUAUUCUGCAUGACAUGGUUUUCUACAAUCUUAUCGUGAUCAUAUGUGUCCUGUAACUUCAUGUUACAGGAAGAGGGUUGGGUUGUGUGCAGGGUGUUCAAGAAACGAGUGCCGACCGCAAGAAAGGCAAGUGAUGAAUUGCCAUGGUACGAUGAGCAAGGUUCCUUCAUGCAAGACAUCGACUCCCCAAAGAGGACCAUGCCGCAGCCUGCCAUGGAGUAUCAUCAUCACCACCAACUCUAUUCCUACAAGAGAGAGAUAAAACUGCAUUACCGCUCGCCGCACGAAGCUCUUGAUCACGAGCUCCCACCAGUAGAGCCCCCCAUGAUUUUUAGUUACCUGAACCACGGAGACUCCCUACAGCGACUCAUCUUCUCGGAGAAUGAAGCAGUGCAACCUCGACACCAACUUCAGGCAACCACGACGGACAACAACGAUGAAAACGUAAGCCAAGCAUCAGACCAAGUGACGGAUUGGAGGAUUCUCGACAAGUUCGUUGCAGCUCAGCUCAGCCAUGAUGGCUCAAAGAAACCUAUCUACUCGGAUGAAGACGACCUUCUUCAAGUUGCCGAUGAACAAGAAGUUGCCAUGGAGUUCCCGUCGACAUCCACGUCGAGCUGCCAAAUGUAUCCGUGGAAAUGAAACAUGAAUUCUCCUAUGUAGCCAGCACGAUAUGAAUCAUAUAUGUGCGAGUGAUGAUUAUGGUUGUGUACAUAAGGUACUAGACGAUUGCGAUGCGGCUGUUAUUCUAGAUAUUCCUACUUAUGAAUGAAGCAAAGACUACUAAUAUGAAUGUGUGCCGUGAUGUUAUUUGCUUCAUCAGAAAAUUAACUACGAUGCAUGACAUUUGCACCGCAGGAAGUCGCCUGCUGAGGCUCAAACGAUCAAAGUCAUUUUGUAGAAUAUGUACAACCAAUAUGAAAUCAAUCGCACACUAUCCAUUCCAUCUUUCAAUAUAACUUAGGACCUUCUGCGUACAGCAUCCGUUACCUUAAAACCAAAUGUCAGACGUGAAGAGAAAGAACCACUGAUAUGCAAGAAAAGAAAGAACAUGAACCGGUUUUAAAGCUAUUGAAAGAGCAAUCCAUUAAUCGUUUCAUGGAACAAGGAAGCUUCAUGCUUCAGUUUUGCAUGUCAUUGCAUCGAAUACAAACACAAACAUGAAAAGCUACACGUAAAGGAAUUCUAGUCAGAAUAGUUUUAAGGUUUGCCUUUUUCCAGUUUAUGUACGUAUCGAUGACGAUAAGAGCAACACAGCUUUGUUGCAGAUAAAGAGUGUUACAGACCAUUACGCCAACACUUACAGAACAACUAUCAUCAUCAUAAUUUAGAACAUAAAACAGAUAAAUUUGUGACGGUAAAAGGACGAAUUAGCAAUACUAACCAUGUUGUCAGGUACGUACCAUGAAGCUUUUGUUCAUCCAGUGAAUAGUCCAGUUUAUAUAGAUAGCAUGACUUCAAGGCUAGGUGUGGAUGAUGCUCUAUGUACUGAAUCCAUAAGAACUCCAGGAAAAUUAGGCUUUGUCCGUAACACUAAAGUUGUAGUAAUGAUGGUAGGAUGUCAUGCCCGUUCUGCAUCUACUGAUGUGCAGGGUAUGGAUCAAGGCAAAGCUAGACACAAGCAUACAACUAAAGCAUUCGAUGGUCUUUGAAGCAGAUCAGUUCCUACGGAAUUCUAGCAUGCAUCAUCCAAACCCUACGGGGAAGAAUUAAUCGUUGGCCAAAGAAAGAUACAGCUGGGAGUUAAUAAGCAAUUGGCUAUGAAGAAGAUUGACCAUAAUGCAAUAUUUGAUGCUCACAGGAAAAUACAAGUAAAGGAUAUCGUCAGAUGAACAUCUUACUUAUCUCAGCUCGACAAUUUGGCAGCUUCCGUUGUCACCAAAAAGAAUGCUGGUAACAUCAAAGUCGAGUCCGAAGAAGCAUCAGCUGCUGGAAACCCUAAGAAACCAUAAGAGUAUAUAGCACGUCAGAUCAUCUUCCUAUGUUUGCUUACCCUUUCAGGUCACCUAUGCAGAGAACGUCCGACAACCAAGUGAAGCUGCGUUCCUCGCGAGAGCUACAACAAGAGAAGGAGCAGAACACUGGAUUUGAUCAACAGAGAGAAAGGAAGCAGCAGUACAAAAAUGCCUCCCACCCACUCGGCCUUCAAUUUUGUGGACUAGAAGAACCCACCAGGAAUCCAUGCAGGCAAGCAAAGCUAUAUCCCCUUCUUCCUUAAAGCAAACUAUUUGUCUAUAUAUCACACUGAGAGAGAGAGAGAGAGAGAGAGAGGUGUGAGAUCCAAGGUCAAAAAAGGUGGGCUGUUGGGAACUAAGUGGACAUGAGAUGCAUGCAAUGUAAAGGCAUCGGGACGUGGAAGAAUUAUUAAGGUGAUGUUAGUAAGUGUUGUUUGUAGACGAAGAUAACAUGAUGCCUGCGUGAAAGCUCUCAUGUGACCACUCAUCAUGCUACCACCACCUAUCCCCGUCCCUCCUUUCCUUCCACGCCAGUGGCCUGAGACCCACCUUAAGCCCUCCUGACACCCUCUCUAUCUAAUCUUAUCUAAUCAUCACUUCCUUCCAUCUAUCCUCUAUAUAUCUAUGUAAUUACAGAAUCCAAACACUGCAUUAAUCAUCCUCGCCGACCUUUUCUCUACUUAUUUAGUUGGCACUACUCACGGCCAAAAGGAUAGGUGACAAAAGCAAAGGAGAGUUCUUCAGAUUUAAAAGUAGAUCGAGAAUAGAUAUAACACUAUAACCUACCCAUUAGAAUAGAUGAUCUAUGGUGGUUCAUGCGAUGAGUAUGUACAGUGUCCAUGUACCAUCGCUGUGGCUCUAUACGUAUAGAUAUCUGUCUGCAUCCUCAUGUUCAUGUAUACCCGGGAUAUACUUGUGGAAGCAAAACCCAAUAAUUAUACGCUACAAAGGGAAAUGGGUACGUACUUUUACGUGGUACAAACAUGUCACUGAUGGAUGAUGGCGAUGAAGAGAGGAUCCAUGAUAACUGGUUCAUCCCCACACAUGACAACUACUGGAAACAGAGGCCACUAAGGAGACAAUGCUUCUGACUCCAGUGAUUGAUGUCUACCCUCCCUGAGCCAGACAGCAUGGGAAGCAAAGCUCAUGAUGUUGCUUUUAAGGUCCGACACCUCAUGUCCUAUAUGUAUCCAAAGCUUUUUUUUGGACUUAUUUCGCUCUGAGCUUUGUUCUUUUUGACUCUUAUCCCCCCCUACAUUGACUUCCCCGUAGCCAAUGCAUUCUUCUUUUCCUCUGGGAAAAGAGAGAACAAAACAUUUGUCACCUCGAUGGUUCUAAAGACAGUGUUAUGUUCCUUUGAGGGAAAUGCAUGAAUAAAUACUGUCUCAAUAAAUUUUUAUUCAAAUAUAGGUCAUAGUUAAGAUCAAACUUAGUUGGAGUCCUACUUCAAUUCAUUUCGAGUUAUCAUACUUCAAUUCAACUUAAAUAUGAUCUACUCAAAUCUAAGCUCGAAGCUCAUGUUUGACUUCGACUAAGAGUCCUAUUCUAAUUAGGAGUCUUCUUCUUUAAGACAAUAACAAUAUAACAAAUUGAUUAGAAAGAAAAGAAGAAAAGAAAAGACGAUAAUAAAUUUAUUGUCUCAAGAAAUCUAGAUAGUCAUUCAACAAUUUUGAGCUUAUAUGCUUGAGUGGCUUCUUGGUUGUAUGUUUAGGUUUUUUUUUUUAAUAACAAUAAUAUUUUUUUGCUUCAAAAAUAUAUCAAUCAUCUCACAAAAUAAUAAUAUUUCUUUUAAUUUGCAUAAAUAAAUUUUUAUAUUAGCACAAAAACUAUAUCCAAUUUUAAGACCAUCGAUAAAAGCCUAAUUGUUGAGGUUUCCUUCAUCCUUCGAAUACUCUCACCCAACAAUAAUAAAUCUAAACUAUUUUUUAUCAUAAAGAUUUUGUAUGUAUUAACUAUUAUUGAUCGAGAAAUUAGAAAUGGUGCAUCUCAUCAUCUCUUAUUUUUUUGGUUUUUAUUCUUAUUUUUAUUCGCUAUGUGCCUUUAUUUUAUUUAUUUUCUUCACGUUCGUGCGUGUUUCUGUUUUGUUUUUGCUUUUUAUAGGGAACACUCUGUUGCAGAUAGCAUUUCCUUGGAUAAUAAAUUCCCUGAAAUAUUUUUGUGUUUGAAUAAGAAUUAUAACCAUGCCGUUGUCCUCCUCGAUCGGUGGCUUAGGAGACGGCCCGGUCGUUGGGGGGAGCUCCUCGAGGAAGGGAGGAAGACGGAGGGCGAACUCGACGUCGAACUCUCCGCCUACGAACGCCAAGCUCGCUUCCGGAUGCUCUCACUACUCUUCUGGUCUUAGAACCCUAUCUACACUUUUCUCCUUCUCCUUCUUCUUGAUUUCUCAUUGGACCUUCUCUGCCCUAGUUGAUUCCUCUUCGAGGGACACGGACGAUCUUUCCCGGUGUUUCGUUUGUUGUUAUGGUCACAGAGAGCUUGACCCAGAUGAAAGAUGUCGGCGGCCUCCGAUGUAAACUUUUCGGGCCUGGUUCCCGGGCCCUGGGCUCUAGGCCUUUCCAAGUUUGGGAUUCUGUAGCAUCCGUACCCUGCGCCAUGGAGGUGCGGUACACACGACACCGAUGGCCAUCAUCACAUAACUAAUCGACGGAGAGGAGGGGCAGAGGAGAGAGCACGAUCGCCAGUAUCCCAUCCAACCGCGCCCUCGCCCUUUCCCAACCGCCCUCCCCCAGCUUUCUCGCGAGACGAGACAUCUCUGCCACUCCUUUGGCGUUCCUCAUUUCGUAGCCUUCAUCCACUGCCCCAAUCCCUAGAGGCGAAGGAGGAGGCGAAGGAGGAGGCGAAGGAAAGAACAGAGAAAGGGGAAAGAAAUCCUGAAUCCAUUGGUUUUUCGUCUCAUCUUCUCAGAAUUAGUUUUUGACGGCCUCGAUCUGAAGGCACAAGCAGACAUGAGUGACGGAGGAUUUCUCGGCAUCCAGCCGACGGAGCUCAAAGUCCCUUGUAAGCAACCUUUACUUCUCUGAUAUUGUACUUGUCCUAUAUUUUUCCGCCGAUCGAUCAAUGCUUGUUUAUCUGUUCCUUUCGCGGUUUUGUCCUAUAUUUUUCCUUCCGUGCGCGCGCGCGCGCACACACACAUAUAAAGUUGUCAUUUUGCUAACGGGAUUUGCCGGCUGGUCAUGCGUCGAGAAGUUGAGUUGAAGAAGCAGAGCUCAUGUUCCAUGCAGCUGACCAACAAGACAGAUCAAUAUGUUGCUUUCAAGGUAAUUGUUUUCGUUUUUCUUAUCAAAUAAUUGUCGCUUUCUCAUUCUUUUCUUUGUUUUCAGCUGCCAUUUCUUCUUGUUUAGUGGUAAUCGGAAUAAAUUCUCUAUGUUGACAUACAUAUGUAUAUUUGCUGAUGUUAUAUAGGUUAAAACUACGAACCCGAAGAAAUAUUGUGUCCGCCCCAAUACCAGGAUUGUAUUGCCGAGGUCCACAUGUGAUGUCACUGGUAAACCCUGUUAUCUCUCGAUCUAGUUGGAGAUGUAGAUACUUGGUCAGUUCAGAGUACUCGGUCUUACUGCUUGUCUUUAUUUCCUGUGUUUGAUGCUUUUGUCACCAUGCAAGCACAAAUGAAGGCUCCAUCAGACAUGCAAUGCAAUGACAAGUUCCUACUUCAGAGUGUCAUAACAGAGCAUGGUGCAACGACCUAAGCCAUAACCUCCGAAAUGGUCCCAACCUGUGCUAUGUUCAUUGGGAUACCUUAGUAUUUCUUCUGUUCAAUUUUGGUUGUGUGAUUAUAACUUAUACUACUAACCAUCAGUUCAAUAAAGAACCUGGUAAGGUUGUUGAUGAGUUCAAGUUGCGGGUCACUUAUGUUCCUGCUGGUCCUCCCUCACCUGUUCCUGAGGAACCAGAAGAAGGAUCAUCCACAUUGGAAAACGGGCUUCAUAGUUUACAAACACAAGAUUCUGUAAGUGGCUGUCAAUUAAUUGAGGCCCUUAAUAUGUCAUUCACAGUUCCUUGUCCUUAUUUUUAUGUUAUGUAUACCUGGAGUUAUCUUGCUUCAAUUAGUUCAAUUGACUUCAACAAACUUUCAGGUAUCAAGAUAUAGCGAGCCGUCAAAGGAGAAGUCUUCAGAGGUUACUUCUUCCCUUUAUCUGUUCUUGGUCUAACAAUUUCACAAAAUUCCUAUAAGUUAGUUUUGUCUUGAAAGCCUCUUUGGUUUAAUAUUUUGCUCCCCUUAUGUGGAAAUCAGUAAUGCUUUCUUAAACUUAGAUGUGGAGAUUAUUAGCACUGGAAGAACUAAUUCUGAACAAGUUUGUGACAACCAUCCAUCUUAUCAUCCUUAACUUGGUUAAUCAUCUAAUCAUAUCUGCAAGUAAUAUUGCCAAUGGAGGUCAUUGCCCCUGUCAGCUGUCACAUUGAAAUACUUAGAUAUGUAAUAUAUGGUGUUUUUAUUGCACCAUUUUGGUUCAUUGAAACUUUAUUGAUUAACUAAUGAAAUUAAGAUCCCACCAUCAUCACUAGUAUAACUUUUUUGUAACCACCAUCUCAUCACCACCACCACAGAAAUAGUAUAACCAAUGCUGCUUACACUACGUUGCUACUGUCACCAUGACCAUCACCAUCUGCACCCACACUAUUAGCUUGACAACACAACAAAUUGAUUAUUAGAAAAGAAUAAAAGAUAGUUUCAGGAAUAAAGGAACAUGUUUCUUCAAAUUUUCCACGAAGAUAUGAAGUCAGAAACAAAGAUGAAAAUGAAGAUGAAACUGGAAAAUUCUUUUUUUGAAAAGAAAUAUACCCAAAUUUUUGUUGAAAAUCUUGAAAGCAAUUUCCCAUAUUUGUAUAACGGCAACAACAACAUCAAAGCCUAAGUCUCAACUAUUUGGGGUUCGCUAACCUUAUACAGUUUUGUCAUUUCUAUAAACAAACCUCAUAAAAGUCUUCCGAAAGAAAACAGAUUUCCAUGACUUUUUGGUGCAAACCAAACACACACCCUAAGAAAAAAAAAAAACACAAAGGGUGCAUUGACACAUUCCUUGAUGUGGCAGGGAAUUCAUGUCAGUAUUGCUUUGGCAUGGUAGUUGGACUCCGUAUUUAUGCAGCUCUGGUUGGCAUGCCAACAUCGUUGAAGCUUUCAAAGUCUCCCUGAAACUGAACUAUGGGCAGAUGACAAAGCUUUAUUAGCACUUAUUGACCAAUUGUGGUUUAGGAACUAGAUGAAUGUGGUCAGCUUUUUUGUUAACAGUUUUUUACAGCAAAUGAUCUUAAGCGGUGAAACUCAACUCCAGGCAAAUGCUGCCAUGUCAUUUUUCGACAGCUUUAUUAGCACAUAGUGGACAAUUGUGGUUAAGGAACUGGGUGAAUAUUUUCAACCUGUUUGUUAAUGUUCUAUUUACAGAAAAUGGACUUAAGGGAUGAAAUCAUUACUGAAUUUGUGGGGUGAUUUGUCUAUAUUUGGCAAUGAUGGUUACUUGUGGCUGCUUGCCACUGUAAGACCUAGUUUAUUACAUUUUCUUCCUCCUCUUGAAUUAUCUACGCAUUAUGGAGCAAAAAAGGAAUAAGCUGAAUUUAGGGGCUCUGAUAUGUUUAGGUGAACUUUGUCCAUCUAUUUGUAUGAACCUUGAUUUGUGAAUUGGACCGUAGCCACAAUGGGAUCAGUAAGCUUGGGCUUCAGGAAGGGCUUGUUUUCCCAAUACUAGACACAUUAGUUUUGCUAAAAUUUACUUGACUCUUUAUCUGAUUGCUACAUUAUACCUAACAUUGUUGCCUGACAUUUAAUUCUUAUUAUGAGGCCUCAAGAAUGAGCCUUAUACACACUGCUGGUUAUUCAUGAUAUUAGUAAUUUGAUUACCUUUUCCAAUAUACAGGCAUUGGCUAUGAUUUCAAAGUUGACUGAAGAGAAACAUACUGCCAUUCAACAAAACCAGAAAGCUUCGGCAGGAACUGGUACACAUUUCAAAUCACAUACAAAUGUAUGAUACAACUAAAGGCUAGCAUUUUUGCCAUUCAUAGUGCUUAUAAACUGGUAAAUAGGUUGUAAUGAAAAUCUAGUAGAUUAUGCUGGUGAUUGGAACUUUGAUGUUUCAAUUCUAUUUAUUGUCUAUGUACCUUUCGUAUCCAAUUUUUAUUCUGAACUCAUUAAAAUGCCGAAUGGAAAUACUUUCAUUAAAGUAAAAUCAUAUACUUUCAUUAAAGUAUGGAAAUACCCAGUUCCGUCAGUCUUUUCAUCCUGAGGUACAGAAUAUGAUAUAUAUAUUUUUUAUAUUGCAUAUGGUGAAAAAGACUGCUGUAGUUUGAAAUGUACAAUUCUCGUGUAUCUAGUUCUUCAUUUUGAUAUCUCUCUAAUCUGAACACUAAAUCAUAUCUUGUUCGUCUAUCAUUUGAGUCUGUUUCAAUAUAAAAGGUGCUGUAAGAAACCAGGAAUACAUUGCAAAAGACUCCGAAAAUGCCAGCACAGGAACCAUGGUGACACUUCUGUAUAGCUUACAACAAUUUAGAAUUUCAUUUUGAUUCUUUCCCUAUAUUAUGAAACUACAAUGCAAACAAUUUUGAUGAUUCUUAUACCCUUCGGUUGAUCCACUAACACUGAUGUAUUGGUUUAUAUCUCAGACCAUGAUAUCGAUGAAAGAGGCCUGAUAUUUAGUUUUGCCAGGAGCUCCAGUUUGAUUGUAAACAUGGUGCAAAAGAUUCCUGGUUAUUAUCAUGAUAUUGUGGCUCACUCUAAUGGCAAUUGCAGGAUCUGCUGAGGAAAAAACACAACGUGGUGGUGUCGAUGGUGCUCUUAUAGGGUAUAUCAUCAUGAAGUUGUAACACAGAAAGCAAAACCAAACUGGACGAAGUCAUAACACAGAAGGUAAAGAAAGAUGAUUUGAACUUCUUUUUCUAGAUUGCGGCCUCGUCUUUUCUUCUAUAUAUGAAACUUUGAAGGCAACCUGUAAACGACACCAAGUAUCGGUAACUUUUAGUAUAUGCCUUAUGGAACUUCGUAAUAAUUCAUCUUAAUCAUUUAAUUUCAUGUGAAAUACUUGGAAUUUUCUGACAUCAAGAAAACAGUAUCUUUGAAAUAAGAAGAGUCUUUAUGACUUGUUGAAAAAUGUGCUUAAAUUAUCACGUUGCUCUCUAUGGCUAUCCGGACAGCAGUGUUAUUGAAAAUAAUGUUGGACUUUAUUUUCCAGGAAGCACGCGAAGGACAAAUUUCUUUGUGGAAGAACUGUAGUUCUCUUAGUUGUCAGGAUUGACUUUGGACACAACGUUUGACAACUCGGACGGCUGUCAACAUCGAUUUCGAUCGUAAACUGCUUCCUCAUUCACUGGUUUCGCAACGGUAGAAAACUGUCCAUAAGCUCUCCCAAGUUUCACCGUUACCUUAUCCGAUUCCUCCACCGAGCCUAAAGGAGCCAAUGGACGGACUCGAGAUGAGAGCACAAGGCAUAAACUUAUUAGUGCUUCGCUUUAACGGUGACUCGGAAAGGUCGGCCUCUGUUGGCGAGAACAUAAAUAAUAGGAUGAUUUUUAAGAAAAUAUUCAUAUUUUAGAUAUUUUUUAAAACGAUACCCUUUUUUUCUCCUGAUUUAAAAAAAAUAGCUAAACUGUUUCUCAAAAACUUUCUUUAUAUUUUUUUACCUGUUAUAAUAUUUUGACCAUCACAAUAAAGAUGCCGUGAUGCUUACUUAAAAAUACUGUAUAUAAAUCAAAUGAAACUAAAAUACACUGACAAUCAUUUGAGAUAUAAUAUUAUGAUUCAAAUAGGUAUUUAUAAUAAUUUAAGAAUAACAUCACCCAAAUAGAAAUAAAAAUUAAUUUAUUAUAUUAUUUUGAUCAUUACAAUGAAAAUAUUAUAAAAGAUCCAAAUGGACUCUUAACCUUAACCAAACCAAUUGCGGCUUACGUAUCCUAUUCUGAUACCGCCAUGUAAAUCUAAAAAUAGGGGUUAUAUUCAUUUCUCUCAAAAGCAAAUACAUAGUAAUGAUUUCUGUUCCACGAAUCAAAACAAAGCGCGUCGGCAAACGCCGUUAUUAUUUAACAUGUUAAUUAAUUAGGUGGUGACGUCCAGCGUAGAUCUUAAUCGAGACUCAAAUCUCGAGUUGGCGUUGCAGCUCCCAAAGGGUGUCGGCGGAACGCCUGAGACGGGCAGCCUCCUCCUCGCUGAGCUGGAUAUUGGCGACGCUGAGGACGCCGCUGCGACCGAGCUGGGCAGGAAGGCUGAGGAAGACCUCGUGGUCUUCCGGAAUGCCGUAGAAUCCCUUGGCGAGCAGAGAGACGGGAUGGAUGCGGUGCUGAUCGCGAAGAAGGGAUCGGGCGAGGCUGGCCACCGAGUAGCCGAUAGCCCAAGAUGUGUAGCCUUUGAGGCGGAUCACCUCGUACGCGCUCUCCACCACGGCCUUCCUGAUCCUCUCUAGCACUCCUUGCUCCAUUGCAGCUUUGUCUUUCGUGAGCUGGCUCAGUAUGGGCACUCCCCCCACGCUGAUGCUGGACCACAGUGCCACGGAGCUGUCACCGUGCUCCCCUACCAUGUACGCCUGGGAAAUCAUUUGCACGCACGAGAUGAGUACGAGACAUGUGGGGAUAGCAGCAGUGAAUGCAAAUCGAUCGUAUACCUGUACAUCUUGAGCGUUAACUUCCAGAUGCUCAGCCAGAAGGAACUUGAAGCGGGAGGAAUCGAGGUUGGUCCCGGAUCCGAUGACCCGAUUGGGCGGGAAUCCUGAGAGCUUCCAAGCAAUGUAGGUCAACACGUCCACCGGGUUCGAUACCACCAGCAGCAGCGCUCCCGGCGAGUGCUUUGCCACCGGCGGCACGAUAUGCUUGAACAGCGCCAGGUUUCUCUGGAGGAGGCUGAGCCGCGUCUCCCCAGGGAGCUGGCGAGCGCCCGCGGUGAUGAUGCAGAUGUCGGAGCCGGCGGUGACGGAGUAGUCGGUCGAGGCGAGGAUCUUGGUGUGGGGGAGGAAGGCCGCGGCGUGCUGCAGGUCCAGCAUCUCCCCGCGGAGCAUGUCGGGCUUGGCGUCGACGAGCGCGAGCUCGUCGGCGAGGUGUUGCGUCAGGAUGGUCUGCGCGAUGGCCAUGCCCACGUUUCCUGCGCCCACCACGGAGAUCUUGGUGUGGCGCUUCGUCGGGGAGGGUGGUGCUGCUUCCUGGAUCGGCCGGAAUAAAGCAUGGUGGACGUCGUUGGCAAAGCCGAGCUCGGAGAGGGACGACGCCUUCUUCAUCUCAGAUCGAUAGACGCAGAACCACCACGGACAGAGAAAUCGAUUCUUAGGCAAAUAGCAGGAGACUAUAUGGUUGUGAAUGAAAGCAGUCGACCACUCAGGAACUUGUGUUUGUGAUAUCUCUCGCCUCCUUCGUGCUGCUUUUAUAGAGCGAGAGAGAGAGAGAGAGAGAGAGAGUCACCAUUCUUAGUCACCGUUGAAUGUUCAUUAGUGGCUACCGCAGAAGCAGUGUGUCUUGGAUCCCAAGCAACACCAUCUAGAUGUUGAAGAGACUACACCGGUGGAACCUUCCAUUCCACUUCUGCGUCCGAGAAACGCAGAGAACUUUUGUCUGGUAGAAGGUUUAGCACAUGCUCGUAACACGUACGCACAGCCUUCGGUCAGCAUAUGGAGGCAUUCCAUCACGCGCAGCGCCGACGGUUUACGACAAAUUGACCCGUGGCCUUGAACGUUGACCGGGCUAACAUAGUACAUAUAUAUGUACGUAUGCCGAGGCCAUAACAAUAAGCUAAUCGAUGUAUCAACUAAAAACCAUAUUGGCAUGUAACCAACCGGCAACAAACAACGGAGCCAAUGGAAUCCAGUUUUAGCGGUUUCGUUUCACGCUUCGAUUCGUGUGGCAGACAAUUGCGCUCCGUUAGUUGGCGUUACUGACCCGCCGACCAAGUUGGACGAAGGUGGCUCUCACGCCUGUCGGUGGUGCCUCGGCCGACCGCCUCAAGACUUUGAGUUGAGGGCCACGUCACUUCUCUCCCCUUUCAACGCGUCAUCGUCUCUCCUCGGCGUUCGCAGAAAGCAUGAAACAGAGCGUAUCACGAGCGACCACGUGAAAACCUCGCUGGGUUUCAGCGCUGGUAGGCGUCUCAUAGGUACUGCUGCGUGUGUGGGACUUGGGGAAAGUAGCAUAUAGGCACAGCUUGUGUUCGUUUGAGAAGCAUCCGCUUAGAUCUCGGGUCGUCUUCCUCCUUUCUAAUUUCCAAGAUCAUAAACCGUAGGUGCCGCCAUUACAAAACCAGUGAACUCGGAAAACAGGCUAUCUUAAAGAAUAUGGGCCACUGUUCGUCAGAUGGAGAUGGUGGAAAGACACUUUCUAUAAGCCUGGCCAAUCUGCACAUCGAGUUAUAAUAACGCCAGGAGCGUGAUUCAAUUCUCUCUCUAUAAAGUGCGUCUAAGAGGAGCUGCGACAGAUCAUAGAUAAAGAAAACCCACACUGAUAGCCAAUCCCUAGCUGUCUUCUGCUACCAUCCUGUUCAUAGCUUCGGCCUGAGAAGAUGAAGAAGGUGUCAUCUCUCUCGGAGCUCGGCUUCGCUGAUGACAUACACAGGACCCUGUUCCGCCCUAUCCAGCAGGCGGCGCCGCCGUCUCCCACUCAGCGUCGCACCAAGAUAUCCGUGAUCGGUGCCGGGAACGUGGGCAUGGCCAUCGCCCAGACGAUCCUGACGCAGGACCUGACGGACGAGCUGGCGCUGGUGGACGCCAAGCCCGACAAGCUGCAGGGGGAGAUGCUGGACCUGCAGCACGCCGCGGCCUUUCUCCCGCGCACCCGGAUCCUGGCGUCUCCGGACUACGCGGUGACGGCGAACUCGGAUGUCUGCAUCAUCACGGCCGGCGCUCGGCAGAUCCCGGGCGAGACGCGACUAAACCUGCUGCAGCGCAAUCUGGCGCUGUUCAAGGAGAUCGUGCCGCCGCUGGCGAGGUACUCGCCGGGGACGCUGCUGCUGGUGGUGUCGAAUCCGGUGGACGUGUUGACGUAUAUCGCCUGGAAGCUGUCGGGGUUUCCGCCCAACAGGGUGAUCGGGUCGGGGACCAACCUGGACUCCUCGCGUUUCCGGUUCCUGCUCGCCGAUCACCUGGAAGUCAACGCUCAAGAUGUCCAGGUAGGCGAAGAACUCAUCAUCAUUCCAUCCAUCCAUCAGCAUUAGCUACCGCCGCACGAACGGCUGGAUCAUACAUGUCUGAAAGUAAUCGAUGCAAAUGGACAGGCGUACAUGGUGGGGGAGCACGGUGACAGUUCGGUGGCGCUGUGGUCAAGCAUGAGCGUGGGCGGAGUGCCCAUACUGAGCCAACUCACCAACGACAAGGCAGUCAUGGAGCAAGGAGUACUGGAGAAGAUACGGAAGGCGGUGGUGGAGAGCGCGUACGAGGUGAUCCGCCUCAAGGGCUAUACAUCCUGGGCCAUUGGCUACUCGGCGGCCAACCUCGCCCGAUCUCUGCUUCGCGAUCAACACCGCAUCCAUCCCGUCUCUCUGCUCGCCAAGGGAUUCUACGGCAUCCCCGAUGACCGCGAGGUCUUCCUCAGCCUCCCCGCCCAGCUCGGCCGUAGCGGCGUUCUCAGCGUCGCCAAUAUCCAUCUCAGUGACGAGGAGGCUGCCCGCCUUCGACGAUCCGCCAACACUCUGUGGGAGCUUCAACAGAAACUCGACCUGUAACUAUCGAUCGAUGACAUCUUAUCUUCAUCGAUAAUCAAUUCACAUAGAUUGUAUCUCCUUUCACCAUUUGCAAGUCAACCAAUUCCCUGUUAUCUCGGAAGGAUAAGUAAAUUGGCUAAUAUAUCUCAUCGAACCACAUAAUCUUGUUAGAAAAUGCCACAAAUACAGGUCGCUGUAUAUGAUUGAGAACCAGAUGGAUCAUUAAGAAGCUACUAUUUUGGGAGUCAACAGUAGUUCUACAUUGCAAGGAACACCUUCUUUGGCAAGCAUUUUGAUGUACAUUACAGUAACUCGGACAUACUACAACUUGUACAUUCUUUGAAUGCAUUUUACGUCAAAAUACUAGCUAAAGUUGUCUCGUAAUGAUAGAAUGAACUAACACAAACUUAAAUGUGUUAAUCCCGGUGAACGCGUCACUUGGGAUAUUGCUUGAAGCGAAGGAAGUCCAUGGAGGAGAGGAAAGAACAUGUCUCCGUCCCCGUUUUCCUGGCCUGCAAGAAUCGUACCAUGUAAAAAGGUGUCGAGGAGAGGAGACGAGGGAGGGUUCAUUUGAACUCCACUUCGAGGAGAGGUUUUCGUUGUAAACGCAAGGUGAUGCGUGUUGCUUUCCGAUUCCCAGUGGAAAAGAGGAAGGAGGUAGGAGAGGCUUGUGAGCCAUCGCAUGGGGUCUGAUCUAAACUAAGCAUAUCUUUACGUGUUGUCCACCCUUCACAUCAUGGUUUCCUCUAGAAAGUAAGCACUGGCCCUGUGCAUGUCUCCAGUGAUUCCUCAAUUCUCAUGCAAACACAGUACUCGGUCCUUUCUUUUUGGCAUGGACAAGGGAACACCCUCCACAGUUCUUGGCCACCACCGUUGUCGCCCUUCCUUGACCUUUUCUUAUGAGAGAGAGAGAGAGAGAGAGAGAGAGAGCAAUUAGGAGGCUUGGAGUGUGCAAACUGUUUAUUGUGAAGGCUUGCAAUAUAAAUCAUAUAAUACUAACAUGUCAAUCACGAAACACUGAUGUAUCGGUCACUGUUUAUCCCAACAUCAACACUCACUGCACAGAUUGAUAGGCGGAUAAUAAAUGGUAGAUACCAAGCCACUCACGCUAUUAAAUCAUUGACGCUGUUGACGUUUGAGUUCUGUAAUCAUAGUAAACAAAAUAAACAUUCAUGAGGAAGAGGGCAGAGGCAGUAACAAUCGCUGGAUCCGAGGGGUACUCUGGUCAGAUAACAAUGAUCAGAUAAAGCCGUCCCCGGAGCGACCCGUCGCCGUAAGGGGCCCAUCGAAAGAACAGGCACCAGCCUGGCAGCGUUCCCCUGUCUCCUGCGCCGUCGAUGGGACGCUUCGAUCGUCAUCCGACGGCUCUGAUGAACCGUUUCCCUCUGCUUACUCGAACAUAAGUGGCCUACGUUGGUGGGCCCCGGGAAUUGAUCCUCCGUGAUUGGCGAGCGUGCGGUGUUGUCCGGUCCCCAAUUUGGGGCAAACGAUCUUCGCGCGCUGGCCAAACAAAAUAAAUAAAGAAGCCGGUCCCACCAACUAGAUCAAAGAUCAGGACCGUCCAAUCGAUGCAACUAUGUACAAAGAUAAUUUACUCAUUUUCUGCAUUAAUACUUUUUUUAUUAGAUAAUCUAUUCGAAAUAAUAAGGGUUAAGUUUCAAUUUUGGUCAUAUAUCUCUUAAGUCCUUAUAGUUUAUUGAUGUUUAAAUUAAUCUCUAUAUUUUUUAAAAUAUAAUAUAUUAAUUUCUUCAAUCGAGUAUGAGUUAACGGACGUUAGAACAUGGUAUGUUGACUCAUAAUAAAUUAUUAAUAUAAUAACAUAUAUAAUUUAUGAUUAAGAUUUAUUUUUAGCUCAUAUGAUUUUGAUCAUUAACAUCUUAAGCCCUUAUGAUUUACUCGUGUCUAAAAUAAUCUAUAAAUAUUUUAAAACGUAAUAUAUAAGCUCCUCUCAUCGUAUGAGUUAACAGACGUUAGAGUUUGUUUACGUGAUAUGUUAACUUAUAAUAAAUUAUUAAUAUAAUAACAUGUAUAAUUUAAUUUUUUUUUAAAGAAUGAAGACCUCCAUUAAUGGCGAGAGGAGACAUCGUCGUGGAAGUGACUACCAGUAGCAGCACCGAGUUGCUACUACUUAGCAGGACAUUGUAUGCAUGAAAGCCUCUCUCACAUAGACUAUAAGCUCAAGAGAUUUCGAAUGUCACUCACCAACUCUAGGGUGCAGGCCACCAUGUCACCUACCACGAUGUUACUUGCAAUCACAAACAACACCCACUUCGAUCCCAACGAAUGUCAUAAUACCUUGUAAGCUAUCUCCCUCGUGAAGCACGACAUCAUGAAGACGGAGAGUAUACAAAAGGAGUGAUUGAGCUGGUCCAUAUAACCCUCUCACACCCGCUUACUCUCCCUAAUUAGCUUGUUGAUAAAGAGGAAGUAGCGGAGGUCAUAGCGAUGAACAAAGGUGGGGAAACAGAGGUAUGAGAGGUCAAAGGUGGAGAUAAUGGAGAGUUGGACUAUCACAUUGUAGGUGCGAUAGGUGGGGGCAUAGGGGAGGACGAAGUGAGUAGCAAUAGGGAUGAGGACACCCAAGAGGAGGAAGAGGGAUCAGGAGACCACUGUGUGCCUAGUAUCGAAUUGAUCAACGCACAUCCACCUGAGGCAGGACUGGAAGCUCUUAAGCUUAUCGUUAGUUCGAGAGAGACUACGUGUGUACGACACCCUACUAGGUAACAACAACUCGAUACUGUUACUAAUGGUCACUUACACGACGAUGCCUCCUAUUGCUAUUGAUAGAAAUAUUAGUUUUUUUUAACUUAAGUUAUACGUAUCAUUAUAUUAAUAGUUUAUUAUAAGUCAACAUGCCACAUAAACAUAUUCUAACAUUGGUUAAUUCAGACAUGAUGGGAGACACUUAUAUACUAUAUUUUUUAAAAUAUAAAUAUUAUUUUAGACAUGAGUAAAUUAUAAAGACUUAAAAGAUUCAUAACCAAAACUACAUGAGUUAAAAUAGACCUUAACUCUAAAUUAUAUGUAAUUAUAUUAAUAAUUUAUUAUGAACUAGCAUAUAACAUAAUCAAACUAUAACGUGGGUUAACUUAAAUUUGAUGAGAGGAACUUAUAAACUAUAUUUUUUUAAAAUAUAAAGAUUAUUUUACAUACAAGUAAAUUAUAAAAACUUAAAGAGUCUAUAUAAACUUAAGAUCCAUAAUUAAAAUUAUUAUUAGGGUUAAAAUAUAUCUUAACUCAAAUAAUAAUCGAUAAUUAGCUUUCAUCCGUAAGCGUUGAAAAGAAUCUACCAAAAGGGCAAAUAUGUCCUCCUAAACCUUUAAAGAUUAUUAUAUGAUUUGAUAAGGUUUAAAUCUCAGUUUCGAUAUAUUAAAAGAUUGAGAUAAAUUAGACAACAUUAUUUUUUAUUCUUUUAAUUUUUAUGGAUGACGGUAAGAUAGAGGGCGAGAAGAAGCAUUCGACGACCUUUCCCUUGAUUCCGAGGUUGCACGCAUUCUUCUUCGCAAGAGAGAGAGAGAGAGAGAGAGGAAGGUAUAGCGGAUCAUUUUUCCGCGGUUCCACCUCAUUCCCUUGAUUCCGACCUUUGUUCUUUCUUCCGUCGCCACCCCGUCGCAUCUCGUUCCAUGUACCGAUGAGGAGAGGAGAGGAGAAUUGAUCUUGGAGGGGAAGACGAGGUAAGAAAAGAGAGAUCUUGGAUAGCUUCUGCUCAGUCGGGAUUAAAAAUGCUGCACUAGUUUCAGCACCCGUCAUCAGAGGAGAGUAGCAGCAGGUUGCAGACAAAGUUCAGGUGGGUACGAGUGCUUGUUGGUGGAGAUCGUAGCGGGAUUUUUGUUGGAGUCUGUGGAAGUGGCGGCUGUGUUGCUGAUUGUUCGAUGGGAGGAGGGAUGCCCCUUUCUCUCCAAGAGAAGGGGGCUCCUCUGCAGGUCUUAGAAGGCGAAGAAGGCCUCUUUUGGUGUGCUUCUUCUUCUGCUACUGCUGCUGAUAAUAGCAAUAGUAAUACUAGGUGGAAGGAGAGGGCAGACGACCAGGAAAGGUUGGUGUUGGAGCCGCGGUCGGUUCUGGAAAGCCUGCGGAGCCCCAGCCCGCCAAGCUCCGCCUCCAACCUGUACCCCACCCGCGGCGGUGGCGGCGGAGGGCCGGCCUCCUCCGACGGCUCGGACUCCGCCACUCCACCGGCGGCGGAAGAGGCCCGGAGGGAGGAGGAACUCCUGCCCGUCCCCGCUGAUGAGGAGUGCUCCCUCGGUGGCGUCUGGGAGGCCUUGCUUUUGGAACAGGCCGCCUCUAUCGGCCAAGACCAGACCUUUCUCCGGUGGAUCACCAGCGAAGCCGACAACACCUCUUCUGUUGGCCAUGGUGGCACCCGAUCGCAUUUCGAUCCAGCUCUCGUGUUAGAAGGUGCUUCGGUGUCGGCGGAAGUCAUUAAUCCUCUUCCGCCGACUUCCUCUGUUCUCUCUGCCAGUGGUGCCACCUUUGGGUGUGGAAGUGUGAAUCCCAAUUCCUGCCUCCCUCCUCCCGCAGCGACUACCCUUCCCGUGCUUCUAUCUCCCACACAGCCCAGAGUCCUUUUCCAAGAAUCCACGGAGGGGAAGCCAUUCCUCUGCCCGAGCCUGCUCUUAGCUCAGCAACAGCAGGCCCGAUUCCCGCAUCAAUCUUCCUUCUUCCUCCCUUUGCAUCAGUUCACCGGCCACCAUGGGGGUCAGCCACCGCGGCAUCUUGGCUCGUCUCCCCGUAGACGCCCUGCCGUCCACCCCUUCCCCAUCUCCCGUGCCCCUGAACUCCGCCGCCCCAACCCGCCCCAGCAGCCGGGAUUCUCUCAGCAGUUCAACGCAUCUGCAUGCCAGCUUCAACCAGGACCGGCAAAACCCAAUUUAGCAAGCGGAGAUGAGGCACCCGCUGCUGCGGCAGCCGUGGCACAGGAGCAGAAGGCACUGAGCGACCAGCUCUUCAAGGCGGCCGAGUUGAUCGAGGUCGGGAACACCGUCAGUGCCCGAGGGAUAUUGGCGCGGCUCAAUCACCAGCUCCCCUUUCCCGUAGGGAAGCCACUCCUGCGGUCCGCCUUCUACUUCAAGGAGGCUCUCCACCUCCUCGCCGGGCAUUCCCCCCACCCACCUCCACCUCUUCCGAACCGAAUCUUGACGCCGUUGGACGUUGUGCUCAAGCUUGGAACCUACAAGACUUUCUCCGACGUCUCCCCCAUCGUCCAAUUCGCCAUCUUCACCUCCAUCCAACCCCUCUUGGAGGCGCUUGAUGGCGCGAGAUGCAUCCACAUCAUCGACUUUGACAUUGGGGUCGGCAUGCAGUGGUCAGUCUUCAUGCAGGAGCUUGCCCAGCAGUGGUCCUCAACAAUGGCUGCCACUCCAUGCCUGAAAAUAUCGGCUUUUACCUCGCCCUGCACCCACCACCCCUUGGAGCUCCAUCUGAUCCACCAGAACCUGUGCCGUUUUGCCGGCAGCCUCAACAUCCCCUUCGAAUUCAAUUUCCUUAGUCUCGACCCCUUCGACCCAUCAGUUCUCCUCGGAAGGUGUUCUGCUGUUGAUGAGGCCAUUGCCAUAAACCUCCCUGUAGGUUGCGCAAUUCGCCCACCCUUCCCAACUCUCAUAGAUUUCGUGAAGCAGCUCUCCCCGAAGAUCUUGGUCUCGGUUGAUCAUGGAUGUGAUCGCAGUGACCUGCCCUUUGCUCAUCACAUCCUCCAUGCAUUCCAGUCAUGCACAGUGCUCCUCGACUCAAUUGAUGCAGCAGGUGCCAAUCAGGAUGCAGCUAACAAGUUCGAACAGUUCCUAGUGCGACCAAGGGUCGAAAGUGCUGUUCUAGGUCACCAUUGUUUGUCGGAGAAAGUGCUGCCUUGGAGAACUCUAUUUGUGUCUGCUGGAUUUGUGCCUAUGCAAUUCAGCAACUUCACAGAGAUGCAAGCAGAGUGUCUUCUGAAGAGGGUGCUGGUUAGGGGUUUCCAUGUGGAGAAGCGCCAAUCUUCACUUUCCCUCUGUUGGCAGCAUGGGGAACUUAUAUCAGUAUCGGCAUGGAAUUGCUGAAGGAGCUCUUUUUCUCACAGGCAUGUCAUCUUGGAAUUUUCUUAUGCAUGUAACUUGAACUCUAUUUAGCUUUGAUUCAAAAACUAUGUUAGUUCUGGUCAGCAACUUACUCUAUCGUCAAAUAUGACAUUAUUUGCCAGUGCCUUGCAUUGUAUCCAUUCGACGAAGGCAUUUAACAGACUGGAAUGUCUUUUACAGUUUAACAGUUCUACUUAAUCUUAUGAUUGUGGACAUGGAUAGUAAUGUUACAGUAUCUUGGUGGUACAAUAGAUCGAAUGUUCUUUCCAUGUGUUAUCAUGAUGCAAAACUUUGAUCAACUUGCAUAGUGUAGAUUCCUCAGAAUUACCAUGCAUCGAAGUGCAUGUACAUUCUAACUCAUCUCACAUAGAUAGGUUAUGGAGUGAAGCCGAUGUCAAGUCAUUUAUUUGUCUGAACUACAAAUCAGUUGAUCACACAUAAUUUUGGGAUAUAUAGCACCUCAGCUACUGAACAUGUUUCUGCAACUAUUAUAGUUGGUGCUUCAGUAUAUAGCACAAGAACAAACUUGUAUUUGCCAAACAUAGUGCUCGUAGGUUUUGCAAGAAGUGUCAUGCUUAUUUUGCUAGUUUCUUCAGAGUAACAUCAGACUACAAAUACCUAGCCAUGGUAAGUUUUCUGUCCAGCUUAAAGAAGGAACACGUCAUGUCCCUAUGUGCCUGUGAUGGUCAAUUAUGUGUGUGAUACUUCGACUGCAACCACACUUUGAGAAACCAGAGUUGGAAAUGCACACAGUUAACACCAGUGUCUAAAUCAAUGUAGCAGAUGAAUUCCUUUACUCUACAAACGCCUGUUAGUUACUUUAAUCUCUCAUUCCUUUGCAGAGCAUUUCUGAAUGAAUAUUCACAUGAUGUGAUGUUGUCUGUGGUCUCUUCCGUCUGCAUAUCUAGUUUCACAAGUAUUUUGAGAAUGUAUUAUCAAAAUCAAUGCUACAGAAAAAAAUUUAAUGUGUAGGUUGGCACUGUCAAUUUCUGGGCCAAAUUCUUUUCUUCAUGUGGUUGUUAAGUGUCACAAAUUAUUCUUAAAGUUGGAUGUGAUGUUUAACUGGUUUUAGAUACAAAAACUUACAAUAAGGUUUCUCAGUAUACAGUUUUAAUCUUUAUCUAAGAAAUUUUCUUGGCUAUAUAUAAAUUGCAUCUGCAUCACAUUAAUAUUUGUUAUGUCCAUCUAUGACUUGUAUGUAAAGGGGUGCUUUUCUUGUCCUACUGGAGUGAAAACAUUUUGACUACAUCUUAUAAUUCAUUCGCUCCUGAUGGAUGUUUUCUUCCACCAAUUACACUCAGGUUUUCUUGUUAGUUUGUCAAUGGAAGUACCUUCAUCUUACCAAGUGAGAUGAAAAUUCUAUUAAGAAGUAAGCAAUUUUUUAUCUGCCAUGUGAUCUGAGUAACCAAAUUUUGUUGUGAUUUCAGUAAUGCUUUCUAUCAUUAUCAACAUGCUAAAAAAAUGGACUUUGUUUUAUUAUGUGUUCUUUCUAAACUUGCAUGCAGCUGCAUAAUUGUUGUAUGGUUGUAUGGAAUGUUAGGAUGAAGAGAUGAAAUCCUAAAUCUAUGUUUGCCUGUUAAUAGUGGAUCAUCAGCUGAUUUGAUCUCUUCAUCCAUUUACAAAGGACUCAUCAAAAAGAACUUUGUGGAUACAGCUCCAAAUGGUAUUGGCACAAUUAAAAAUUGCAGUAAAUUUCUUUUCAAUAUAAAACUUGUGAACAAUCUGUGCUUUAUGGAGAACCUCUACAAUGCGUGGUAGCCUUUUGCUUUACAGGCGGAAUUUUCUGGUCCUCGUGGCUGUGGUGUCGAGCAUAAAGAAUCAUUCUUCUUGUGCUUGUGUUGUGCUUAAUCUUUAAAGAGUUGCCAUGCAAUUACAUGUGUAGUAUUUGAACCGAGCUGCUGUUGUUUGUAAAGAAAUCCUCAUCCUAUUGAAAUUAUCAUUUUAUUUUCCUUUGGAUGUGUGUGUGUGUUUUUUUUUCAUAUCCAAAGUGAAUUAAGAUGGAUAAUUUCUCUAGAAAAUAUUCAUAUAUUUUUUAGAAAUUUUCAAUUGGUAUUACUCUUUUAUUUUUUUUUUCAAAUAGUAUCUUUAAUUAAAAAUCAAAUUAUCCCUAAAAUUUUUUUCAUUUGUUAUAGUUUUUUGAUCUGUUACAUUAUUUUGAACUAUUAUAGUGUUUUUGGUCAUCACAAUAAAAACGUGAUAAAGCNNNNNNNNNNNNNNNNNNNNNNNNNNNNNNNNNNNNNNNNNNNNNNNNNNNNNNNNNNNNNNNNNNNNNNNNNNNNNNNNNNNNNNNNNNNNNNNNNNNNNNNNNNNNNNNNNNNNNNNNNNNNNNNNNNNNNNNNNNNNNNNNNNNNNNNNNNNNNNNNNNNNNNNNNNNNNNNNNNNNNNNNNNNNNNNNNNNNNNNNNNNNNNNNNNNNNNNNNNNNNNNNNNNNNNNNNNNNNNNNNNNNNNNNNNNNNNNNNNNNNNNNNNNNNNNNNNNNNNNNNNNNNNNNNNNNNNNNNNNNNNNNNNNNNNNNNNNNNNNNNNNNNNNNNNNNNNNNNNNNNNNNNNNNNNNNNNNNNNNNNNNNNNNNNNNNNNNNNNNNNNNNNNNNNNNNNNNNNNNNNNNNNNNNNNNNNNNNNNNNNNNNNNNNNNNNNNNNNNNNNNNNNNNNNNNNNNNNNNNNNNNNNNNNNNNNNNNNNNNNNNNNNNNNNNNNNNNNNNNNNNNNNNNNNNNNNNNNNNNNNNNNNNNNNNNNNNNNNNNNNNNNNNNNNNNNNNNNNNNNNNNNNNNNNNNNNNNNNNNNNNNNNNNNNNNNNNNNNNNNNNNNNNNNNNNNNNNNNNNNNNNNNNNNNNNNNNNNNNNNNNNNNNNNNNNNNNNNNNNNNNNNNNNNNNNNNNNNNNNNNNNNNNNNNNNNNNNNNNNNNNNNNNNNNNNNNNNNNNNNNNNNNNNNNNNNNNNNNNNNNNNNNNNNNNNNNNNNNNNNNNNNNNNNNNNNNNNNNNNNNNNNNNNNNNNNNNNNNNNNNNNNNNNNNNNNNNNNNNNNNNNNNNNNNNNNNNNNNNNNNNNNNNNNNNNNNNNNNNNNNNNNNNNNNNNNNNNNNNNNNNNNNNNNNNNNNNNNNNNNNNNNNNNNNNNNNNNNNNNNNNNNNNNNNNNNNNNNNNNNNNNNNNNNNNNNNNNNNNNNNNNNNNNNNNNNNNNNNNNNNNNNNNNNNNNNNNNNNNNNNNNNNNNNNNNNNNNNNNNNNNNNNNNNNNUAGUUCCGUGAAAAGAUAGUUUUAUCGUUAUCUCCGUUGACUUUGUUACUAUCAUCCUAAACCCCUACCCAUGUCUCCUUGCACCACUCUUGCCCCAUGAGUCAUACCACCUCCUUCCUUGCUUGUGGAUGAUGAUGAAGGCGUGCCCCUCUUCCUCCCCCCAAACCACUAACAAUGAGAUUACAUGGGCCACCCUUCUCUCCUUUAUUACAUGUGGUUGAUGGCACGAGGGAGGCCUAUCGGGCGAACCACCGCACCCCUCUCCCUAAUGAUCAAUGUUGAGGGUAUGCGAGCGACCUCCUCUCCUUCCUCGGUUGCGAUCGAUGCUGAGGGAGGCUUGCAAGCCACAAUGAAGGCGCAUGAGCUACCUCCUCCCUUUCCUCAUUCACAUUCGACAGUGAGAGAGGCUUGCAAGCGACAAUAAUGACACAUGGAAUGCCCCUCCUCUUCCUUGCCCACAAUUGAUGACAAGGGGCUGUAAGCCAUAACGAAGGCACACAAACUGAUGCCAAGGACAUGUGAGCUGCCCCCUCUUCUUGUUUGCUCGUGAUCGACGACACGAGUGUUGAUCGUCUUUGCACAUCAUCACGCUUAUGUUACGAGCAAUGGAUGACUAUUCAGAAUAAAAGGGAGCGACCGGUGAUUCGUCGAGGACAGUGGCCAACAUGAUAGAAUGAAAAAAAAAUAUUUCUAUAAGAUUUUUUUUUAAUUGUGCAAAUUUUAAAAGUUUUUUUUUUUAAGGAAUUCGUCCCAUUAUCGUAACAAAAACAACACGUAAAGGACAGCUGGCAGCGGACCCGACGACUGGAUUUUGGCACCUUCUUAUUCUACGCUUUUCAUUUCCUUUCCUAACCGGGAAAUGUCCCGGUUGGACGAUUGGUGUGGGGCCCACCGGGACCCGCGCUUCGCUUGGAUUGAAACAAAAGGGUAGACAAGGCGGUCGCUUCUCUCUCCUCCUCGUCGCUUCUCUCCAAUCAUAUGCCAAGCAAAGCCUUCCCUCUCACCUUUCUCAUCCUCCAAGAAACCCAAGUGGGGGUUCCCAGCUCGCUCGUCCGAGAAUUUUAGGGUUCUCGAUCUUACCCUUGAGAAGAAGAUAACCAAUAGGGAGAGAGAUGCGUCCCAGCUUUUGCCGGAGCUGCCUGGCGUUCGCCCUCAAGUUCUUGAACUUCCUACAGACCUUCGUCGGCGUCUCCGUGUUGAUCUACUCCAUAUGGGUACUCAAUUGUUGGCAUCGUCACGGGCAUCUUGUCCUCGAUCUCCGAGACGUUUCCGCCCCCUGGUAAACUGAAUGCCCUCUUCUCUGGAACUCCCACUGAGCGUCUUCUAUUGAUUGUUUGUUUUUGUUGGCAAACACAAAAGGUUCGUGUGUGCGUCGAUGGGUGUCGGGAUCUCCCUGUGUCUGAUUUCGUUUACCGGAUAUGUCGCUGCUGAGGCAGUCAACGGCUGUUGCCUCUGUUUCGUAUCCUGCAAUUGGUGGGUAUUCAUGUUUAGUUCUCCUCAAUUUCCUUCUGCAGUGGCAUUUUCAGUCGGACAUAACUUGAAUUCAGUAAGCCACAGUUUUUGGUUUGGUUACUUGAUUGCCGAACAUUUUUAUAUAUGGAGCUCCUUGUUAAGGUAAAUUGCAAAGUAAUGAUUUGUGAAGCCCUUUUUUAUAUGCCGUGAAAGUUGUUUCUUAGUGGACCUUUUUUUAUUCUAUUCUCAUUUCUCGGAAAAUAAAUGAACUAUCAGCUGGUGAUACGCUAAAUAAUUGAAACCGUUGCAGAAUUUUAUUGGAUACCCAAGGAGACCAACAUUAUUAGUGAACCACUGAGAAAGGUGACAGUGUAGACUUGUAAUUUUCACCUUUGCUUCUUGAUCUCAUUUGUAUUGGAAAACGUAUAAACUUGUCAGUUUAGUUGUGUGUCUUAGUCGUAUUGUAUCUGUGUCCAUGCUUCAUAAGUUUCAUCAUGACUGCUUUUAAUUCCUGGUUUAAUAUUUCCUCAACUUCAUGCAGUUUAUUUUCUCCUUCAAUAUUUACACUGAACUUUGCUCAUUCUAUAUUGAUGUCUUUUUGGGGAAAAUACAGCAUGGAUUUGAAUACAAUCUACCUUCAAAUUCAACAAAAUAAAAUCCUGCCUGUGCAAAUGCCUUUGAAACAAUUUAGUCCAGCAGACUUAGUUGCAUUGAGCAGCUAAUGCAUUUUGCCAUACUCCAUCCUUGUGUAGUUACUUGACUUCCUUCACUUGCUGCUGUUAGUUAGCUUUUGUUCUGACUUCUGAAAUCUACCAAACACCUGAUUUUAUAAUUCCACUGCUGUUAGUUGCAUUGAGAUACUGUUUGAAGUAAAUCUUGCUUGUUCAUUUCAUAACUUUGAUUGUAUGAACUAAUAAGAAGUAACUAGAAAAACUAUAUACAAAGGAUUGGCUUUCAUUUCACGAUGCACCUCGGUCGUGGCCAUUCUUGGAGACAAGUGUAACUGAAGUCACAGUUCUGGCACUGGCUGUCACUUUUUCUCUUUGCAUUAUAAGUUUCAUGAUUGAGCACAAUAGUAUAUGUACAUUUAUGUGAAUGAUUUUGCAUGACUUCCUUAACAUAGAUGAACAACAGUAUGCGGUUUUAUCCACCAUGCUCAUUGUACUAGAAGCAGCUUUGAUGGGCGAUAUUUUGCUAAACAAGCACUGGGAAGAGGUAACUUUCUAGUUUUUGUAUCUAGUCAUAGUCAUAUUUUAAUAUAGUAAGAAUAUUCCAUUAUAAGACUGUCCUAUGUGUCAUGGUUCACAGGAUCUUCCAUAUGACUCCACUGGAGAACUAAAAAAUCUUCGUGAAUUUGUAGAAGAUAACAUGGAUAUUUUCAAAUGGGUUGCUGUGAGUGUGAUUGCUAUCCAGGCAAGUUUCUUAUUAGUAUAUGUUUCGAAUUGUUAGAUCCCAUUUUGAAUGAUGGGCAGUUUGUACGUGAUUUUUAAGUCACGAAUUAUCAUACUUAAUAACUGGGCCAAUUUAUUAUUUUGCGUGAUUGAUUGUUGAUGUUACAUUGACACUUAUUAUGUUUUAGGUUAAGUUAGUUGUCUAGCAGUCAUUUCAAACUUGAACAAGGACUGAUAUCUGUUGAAAAACAUAUUAUUUAUAGUCUGCCCUUUUAUUUUUAGGUUUACAUAAAAAUAAUACUUGCAACUUCAAGAUGCUUCUAUUAUCCACUAUAUUUGUGGCUUUUGAGUUUAACCUUGACCUUGCGUGAGGAAAGGUUUGUGUGUCAGUAUAUUUCUUAUGAAACCUUGACAUCAUUUUACUAAGAUAUCGACUUCAAUUUUUUUAGAAGCAUAUUUAUGUUCCAUCAGAUCAUUUUUUUCACAAUUGAUACAUAUUCUUCUUUGUUUUAUGUAUAGGCACUUUGUCUUUUGUUGACACUUGUUUUGCGAGCCUUGGUUCAACCCAGAAACGAUGCAUAUGACAGUGAUGAAGAUUUUGUUGUAAUAAGGCGACCACUUCUUCACCCACAGGGUGGUGGCCCCUCUUAUGGUACAACCUCCAUUGACAACAAAGGAAUUCACUCUGACACUUGGAGUUCUAGAAUGAGACAUAAGGUACUUUGUCAAUUUUUGUUUUGAUGUAUUAGUCCUCACCAGAUUGAUGUCGACCAUGUCAGGAUUUAAUGUAGAUGUUUAGUAAUCCAUAACAAUGUUUGGUUCUAGUGAACUGGCUAUGCAGUGGUAGCUUCAAUAGAGUGUAUGAGAGGUAAACAAAUUAUGUAGCCAGUCUAAGACAGACAAAAUUUAAUACAUAUCUUCUAUAUGAAUAAGAUAGGCAUGGGUUUCCUAUAUUAUAUUAUAUGUUAAUAAGAAGAUAGAUGAUCACACUAAUAUCAUGUGGUAUAUUAUAGGUAAUGCAUUUAAAUGGAUAACUAUUAAGAGUCCUGAGAAUCUCUAUGGUGAUUGAUCAUAGAUAAAUUUAGUUGUCAACUAUUGCUUGGCUUUCUACAAUUGUAUAAACCAUAUCAAGUUCAACGCACUGUAAGGCCUUGAAUCACCUGAUAUAUGAUGCAUGGACACAGAUACAAAGAUGAUUUGGAAAGCAAUAUUUUCCUUCUGAUUCAGCAAGGAAAGUAGAGGGGACAUGUAGGACAAUAAUACCUUGGUAAUGGGUAAAGAAGCAUGAAGCAGUAAAAUCAAGGUGUUCCACCUUGCAUAUAAAUUUUGUCAAGAUGCUUGUUUGCCCUUGACAAAAGGAGAGAAAAAUCCACUUCUAUCUUAUGGUCAUAGGUUAAACUUAAUGGUUCUUUCCAAGUCCACUGAUCAUUGAAGUAUAGAGGUUCAUUGCAUACUAGCGUCUGGCAUGAUGGUAUAUACCUAUUCAGAUCUGCAGCUUCAAAUGGUCAGUAGCAUACCUAAUGGCUAACUUCCUAUUGUUCCUGAAUAUCUAAUAGUUGUGCAGGAGGGCCAAUGACCUUAAAUAUUUUGUUAUCAUACUGUCUCUUUUUUCUUUUCCUAAUGUAGGUUGUACUGGAGGCAUACGCAGAAAUGAUUCAUUAAGGGGGUCAAAAGAAAUUUAUAAGCAGCAGCUAUAUUGAUUAGAUGACAUAAAAUGGACAAGUGAUCUAUAGUCAUGGAGAACCCUCUAGAACUUUUGGAUUCCAACAUAUAUGAAAUAGUGAAACUGAUGGUGCAGCCAAUAACUCUGUAAAACAUUUAACACUAGAGAAUUGAGAGAUCUAUCUUCUAGUAGAUUUAUGAAUGAUGUUCUUUUUGUGAUUGUACAUGUUUUGUUUCAAGUUUACAUGAGAAAUGGAUGGAAGAAACAAGAGGAUUAAAGUUUUCUGAAAAUUUUGUGAAAGUUAAGUGAAUAUACCUUUUAAGAUGAUCAUCCUCAGUGUAAUGAGAGGUUGGACUGUAGCAAUAUAAUAUACAUUAGGAGUAAUGGAAAUCGUAUAGUAGUGCAUCGAUUGUUGGAGAUAAAAUGUAGUGUAUAGUCGGAGGCAUACAUGCGGGGCUGUAAACUUAUGUGGAUUGCAAAAAGCGAGUGCAUUAUGCAGCAGAAAUUUGAAAACACAUAUUGUAAUGAAAAAGAGAGUUCUUGAAGCAACAGAUAUUUGGAAAUGCCUAUUGCAAAACAACAUCCUUGCUGUUAUUGCUAUUGAUUGAUCAACUAACAAAUAUAUUUCAAUCAAACAGUGUACAAGAUCUUUGUUUCCUAUCAAAUAUAACUGGUCGAAGUUGAUAUCCUCAUCUGAAUUAUGUUAUUAAGGAAGGAAUUUUAUGGGAACAAACAAGAAUGCUUUCUUUAUCAAGUCCUUGUACUAGAGGAUGAGCCUUAGCACCAUGGUAAGGUUGUUUUUUUUUUCUUUUUUCUUUUUUGGCAACCUAGUGACCAAGGUCAGCAUACCUCAAACCUGGUCACACUGCAUUGGUGGGAGUUUUGCGCACUUAACCACAAUUUUUUGUCAAGCCCUCGUACUAGUUUCCAUUGACAUAUUGUCCGAUACGUGCUUCUAAACAUCAAACAUGUCAGUGACAUGAAAUAGUAAAAGAAAAUAUUACAAAGGAGAGGUAGAAAUCAAUUAAGUGUGACUCAGAGAUGGUCAUGAGACAUGCAUUGAAUUAGUUGAUUAUGAUGCUUCCAAUUAGUCUAACAUGUGAUAUGAGCAGGGAUGUGCAUAGUUUGAAGUCAGUUUACAUGGUUUGGGGCCUGGGUCAGCCUACAGGAAAGAAUAUCAAAUCCAAGUUUCUUGUUUUCACCAUCGGCUGCUGUUUUCCUGUAUUAACUUGGACAUGACAGUUAUUAGGUUCUCAUAUACUAUGUUCAGAUUAUUAUAAUCUAGACUUUCACCCAGCUUAGUUGAUAAAGAUCUUGAUUAGAUUGAAUCUCACCUUCACCACCUAUCCUUACUAUUAUGAAAACAUCUGCUGGUUGUACAAGAAACAUAAUGUGAACCUAAACAUCUUUGACUACAUGAGGACAUACAGGUGUCAUCUCAAUUUAUUCGUGAAUUAUUUGUAGUGGAGUGUAAUACAUAGGAUAUAUCAGCUCGUGUAGAAAAACUCCCAUACAUGCAUCAGGUAAGUAUCUACUUUCGAGUCAACUGCGAAUAUUUGUGUUUGAAGUAGUUUCUCGGUGAUGGUUGUAUUCUAAUGCAUAUAGAUUGUGUACAUUAUAUGUUCUUGUACAUGAUACCAUUCCAACAAAAAGAAAAAUGUGUAUUUUUUAGUUCCCCUCUUUAUGUGUCACCGAGUGGGUAUUUGUGUGUAUGUUUGGUAUCUUUGUAUAUCUUGAAGAUAUACUGUAUCCGCAUAUGCAAUAAUUGAAUCCUCUGUGCUUCAUACCUUUUUCUCUUACAACUUAAUAUUUUCUUGAUUGUAGUAUGGGUUGAACCAAAAUGAACUGCCACCCAAUGCUGUGGACCUGAAGCCCCCAGUGCCAUAAGAACAUCAACAUCGGAAGAUAGUGGUUCAUCCUGUAAGCAGUUUGAUUUGAAACUCGGCAUGUGUGUGCAACCAACCAUCUGUUAGUAGGUAAAAUUGUGGAGUCCCUUGUAACAUAUCCAUUCUCUAUGUUGCCCUGGGUAUCAUGCUGUUAAUAUCCUUGUCGAUGUCUCUCACAGUGCUUUGAGAGUGCUUUGAUAUCUUGUUGCAUAACUUUUUUUCUGAACAACAAUCAGGCUUCUGGGGACCUUUGCACUUUUAUGGGUGUCUCUGCCUGUUGUUGCUUCUCUGGCAACCGUUAAAGGUUAGGUGUCAAGGAUUUAACUUCUGCAGCAGCAGCAGCAGCAUUAUAUUCUUGGCUGACUCUUGUUGUGCUCAAUGGAACUGUAACCCAUUGAGAUUAUAUAGCUUAACAACUGCCUCUUUUUGCCUGCUAGCAAAUUUGCUUCUGGAGGGGGAUCAAGAGAUAUAUCUCUCUUUCAGCGGAAAGGUUGGGGUCUCUGUGCAUUGUUCUACAAUUAAGGGAGUUUAUCUCCAUUGUUUGAUCUCAUCUUUUAACACAUGAUUAUGCAAAUACUCCCAAAUAUGAAAUUGGUUUAUUUUUUCCCCUUCUUCUUCUUAUAUACAUAGAGCAAUAUAUUUUUUCCCCCUUAGUCUGGAACUGUGGCACACAAUGUUAAUUGUUUCUCAUUUCCCAUAGCAAUGCUGUGCAAUGUAGCCUUCAAGUCCUAAUAGAAAAAAAAGCUUGUAAAUGUAUGCUCUGCUUUUGGUCAUAAAACUUUCUGUCAUCUGAACCCAAAUAAAGAAACAAUAGGAAACACUAUAGAGCAUGCAUUUUUCAGGAGACUGAUUGAUUGUUUUGCAUGUCAGUUAUUAUUGGUAAUCUUUCAGGUGACAAAGUUUGGGAAGGAUCAGCAACAUCUCUGGAGGAGUAAAACGUAAAGGAAUUUUGAUGUAAGUAUCAUGAACUGAAUCUUAUAACCAAACAUUAUAAAUUCAGAAAGAUUACAAAAUUAGGAAGCCUUGAAAAGCACCAUCCUGUAAUAAUGAAGAUUUUAAUAUUCAUAGGACAACAUUAGAGGUUUAAUUUUACAUUACAUGUUACUGUUACGGAUUUUGGUGGAGUCUUACCACUCGCUCUUUCCAGGUUUUCUGAUAUAAAUCUUACCAUUCGUGUCAUAUCCUUAAUUCACUGAUCUCUGCCGCCUGCCAAUGAGCAAAAGCCUCUCGGCAGGUUCAUUCUACUGACACCUUUUUGCCUGUAGCUGAGUAUUCUCAGGCUCUGCCUCAGAAUAUCGAUUUCUCUAUCCUUUUUGGACGCCUCUUUUGCCAUUACUGCUAUGUGCGAUCUGAGUGUUUCCAUUGCUUCCUCCCUGUCUCUUAAAUCCUUCUGUAGCUGUUCCAUCAUGCUUUCUUCAGUUCCCCAUCCAAAUCUCUCACCUGCAAAGGAACCAAAACUUAAUGAAUGUUAUGCUCUAUAACCCAUUGUUUUUUGAACUGACAUCUUUACAUAAUAUAGGUAUGAGAAAGAACGCCGCUGCCCUUUCACUUAAUGAAUGUUAUCCUUCAACUUCUAUGUUCGAAGCAGAGAGAAAGGUAUGGACAAGGCAAAAAGGGGAGCAUGGUGAAAGUGUCACAUGGCAUCUUAAACUACUGUUGUGUGGUCCAAAGAAGUGCAGAUAAGACAACAGCAAUAAUUAAUUAGUUGACACGUUCAUUCAUGUUGAACGCAGAGGAGCGUAUCGAGUUCGUGAGACGAACAAUGGAACUACAAUAUAUUAUCUGCUUUAUUUGUCAUAGGUAUAAGGUAGAAAGAACUACGAGUUCCUGGAAUUAGUUGUCGGAUAUGGUAACAAGAUACAUGUUUUUUGUUUCUCUCAAUUCACUAUAGCUCCUGUUGCUGUUCCCAGAUAGUAGUCAGUGAUACAAUCGAGUCAAUGGUAACAAAGAAGUUAAUGAGUAGUUAUUGUGAAGAACAGGGGGAGGUUGGUCGUACGUUCAUGUACAUGGACGUUGGACUCUCAUAAUUGGGUCAUACAUGGCUUAGCAGAGGAAGACUCAGCAAACAUAUCACUGAUUGCAAAAGAAAAUAGGAAAAAGAAGUUUUGGAAAUGAUUAUUGUUUUGCAAGUUUUGAUCCACAAGGCUGCAUGGGAACUAUUGAUGUUUGUUUUGUCUUCUUUCAGCUCUGACGAAGGCCCUAAAUAAAUGGAUACAUCAGAAGUACUGACAUCAACUUGGUGGUGCUCCUCCAACCACUCCAAGCACAUUGAUCCACUGUCGAAACGCAUGAACGAAGGUAUGCAAAAGAGUUCGCUCGGUUUAUGCGUGUGUUCUCUCUCUAAUCUCUCUUCUCUGUGUGUGUGUGUGUGUGUGUAGUGUGUUCUAUGACAAGGUUACCAUGAAAAGUAUAGAUAGUUAUCUGAGAGGACUUAAUCUUGCAGACAAAUGGCGUAGGGGAAUGAAUUGGCGGAGACACUCACCUUCACGAGUCCUUUGGAUGAGGUCAUCGAGCUCGGUCUUUAUGGUGAGAUAGAGCUGCUUCCACUUGGCGACCGCUUCCUCCCGUCGCGCUUGCUCCUCCUCCAUGCACUCCACGAGGAAAUGCCGCUCCUUGUCAUCCUCGCAGAUCUCCAAGCAUGGUCUUCUCCUGUCCUCUUUCGACAUCUUGCUCAGCAUCUUCUUCUCCUCCUCCUCCUCCUCCUCCUCCUGCUUCUUCCUGAUCUCUCGCUUCCACUCCUCCUCCUUGGAGGCGAAGUCCGCCAAGCGCUGCUCGUAAGCCCAAGCGUCACGCUCCCUUGCGCGCUUCAUCUCUCUGAUCUCUUCUUCUAGCACAACAACUCGACCUCUCAGUUCCUCGUUCGACUCAUGGCUGUUAUUACAGCACCGGCUGAUGACGCCACCCAUUGCUUGCAGAGGCUUGUGUUUUGCCUAUAUCACACGCUCUCUCUCUCUCUCUCUCCCGCUUAGGGGGCUUUCUCUCAUUGGAUUCCUAUAUGCGCUGUUCUUAAUUUGUGCUGGAGGGGUGGUUACAUGGAGAUGGUGGGCAUGGAGGCGAUAGUGAUGGGCUGAGAGACAUAAAUACGAUGGAGAGAGAAUCUCGUGGAGGGGAGAGAGAGAGAGAGAGAGAGAGCCUGCACGCUGUACUGGUCUUUGUGCAUGCCUUAACAAUACCAUGAUGGUGAUAAAUGUAGGUGACAAGCGCGUGAAGCUUCGCGCGCUUCAUGAGAUACAGAAUACUUCACUCACUGAAAGAAUCGUAGAUAGAUAGAUAGAGAGAGAGAGAGAGAGAGAGAGAGAGCAGAAUCUAUCUGUUUAUCUAUAUUCCUUUAUUUUUUUUUUCUUUUCAUCAUUCUUCCUUUCUUUUUUCAAGAGAAAAAAACUAUAUUAACAAUCCAAGCUCUGUUCAUCAGAAAUAAAAAGAGACAAUACAUUAGGAGGAAAACUAGAUCUCCAGAUCUGAUCAGAAUUACAAAACUUAACCUCAUUAGCUAACCAAUAAGCACAACGAUUAACCUUACGAAAAAUAUGACGGAUCUUAUAGUCCUAAAACAUCGGUAUAUCAAUCAAGAUAAUUCUUUGGAAAUGUUAAAGAAUAAUUUAAUUUGAUUUGAAAUUAACUUCAGCUUUUGAUGCUUUUCCGGCUACAUUAGGAUUUAAUUUAAUAAGAGAUUAUAUAUAUAUAUAUAUAUAUAUAUAUAUAUAUAUAUAUAUAUAUAUAUAUAUAUAUAUAUCUCUUUUUCUUGGAUUUGCUUAACAUGUGAUUUUCAUCUAUAAAAGAAGAUGCAUGGUUCUAAUAAAAAUACAAAAGAAGGAUUUUCAUAUAUAUAUAUAUAUAUAUAUAUAUAUAUAUAUUCUAUUUUCUUUUUUGAACAACUAAGAUGAGCGUUAAAAAUGGAAAGAGCUAUAAGAGUGAGUGGAACACAAAUCAGUUGGUCCACAAAUUUACGGCUCUACGUUGAUCAUCCAUGUCGUGGUUUAGCAGUCAUUAUUCGAUUCAAGUGGAUGUACGCAGUAGGCUCCAUGUUGUUUUCAUUGCCAUAAUGCCUUGUUGAUCUUAUUCGCCUUAAUGUAGCUGUUGUACAGCGUAGGUUUGGGGCGUCCAAACACCAAAUAAUGACCAAAAAUGUUGCAGCCGGCAACAGAUUGGUACAUCUGACAACCACACGCCGCAGGAUCAUCCAAGAGUGUUUAAGUUGUAGAAGAGGGUUACUGGUCGCAUGGAACGCUGAAUCAUACUCACUCCACGUUGGUCCAUCAGAUGAGCUGUUAAGUUGUCAUAUGGUAAUGGCUGCUGCAUUCAUGGCCCCCAUCGUGGUGCCGUCAUCCGUGACGUCAAUCAAUUUAUCUGGUUUCUGCUUCUGACCUCCGUGUUAGGACGUUAACUUCUAAAUUGACAAAUGCAUCUCGCCACCAAUAGAAUUAACUACCAACAUUGCUCGUUGUCUCGUAUAAUAUUUUGAGUUUAGUUGGUAAAAUCUUGGUGUAAGAUUAUAAGUUUAAAUCUCAUAUUCAAUCAAGAAAAAUCAUCGUCAAUGCCUAAGCUAAUCCAUUAUUAUUCAAACAUGAGGACACAUGAGUGUCCAAAAUAGCUUCGAGACGUUUGAAGGUGAUCCUGAGGUGGCUCCAUGGUAGAACCGUUGAGCUCUCGAUGCAUCACUUAUACUAAGAUCGAUAUCAGUGGAGAUUUUUCAACCCGAUCCCUUCGAUACUUAAGUUAACCCAAGAUCCUUUUUAGGUAUAGAUUUUUGCUCGAAAAGAGAGCGUAGUAUUGGGGAUUACCUUUUAUACCCAACCUUGGAAGGGAUAAACUGUAAUCGUUCCAAUGUCCCCCUCUUGGUGUUUUGUCCACAUGGGUGACGGGAGGUAGAUAGCCUCGAAUAAUCUACCUUGGACUUUUGUCCACAUAGGUAGACGAACAAGGGUGACUUGGACCCUUUUCCUUCCAUGAUAGCUUCCACAUGGCACUUAUGUAUCGGAUGAUGAUUCGCAGCUAAUAUAUUCCUUAUUAUUUGUCCCCUCUACCGCCCCCGCCCCCCGGCAUGCUUUAAGGCUCUUGCUAGAGGGGCCUAAAAAGCAACGUUAGUUUAUGCAACAUGAGAGCAUUUGAGAUCACCUCUUACAGGUCGGGUUUUCCUGAAUAAUGCCUUAAGUUAAGGCAAGGGUUGGGUGUCCCGACCUCCACACCUCAAGCAAAGGCGGAGGUGGAGGUUGGGCGUCCCGAUAUCCAUGUCUUGAGCAAAAGGAGAGUAGAGUGCCUUGACCUCCACACCUCGAACAAAGGUGGGGUUCGUGCAUCUUGACCUCUAUGGCUCGUGUGACGACAGAGGUCAAACUUUUUUACCAUCGCACCUUUGGCGGAGGUGGGGGUUAGGCAUCCCGACCUCCAUGCCUCAAGUGAAGGUGGGGGUUGGGCGUAUCGACCUCCAUGAUUCGUGUGAUGGUGGAGGUCAGAUUUUUAGCGGAGGUGGGGGUUAGGCAUCUCGAUCUCCAUGCCUCAUUCAAUGGUGGAGGCCAGGAUUCUCGACCUCUAUACCUUUAGCAGAGGUGGGAUCAGGCAUCCCGACCUUCACACCUUGUGUGACGGUGGAGGUCGAGUAUCCACAAUUUGAGCAAAGGCGAGGAUCGAGCAUCUCGACCUUCGUGCCUCAAGCAAAUGUGGAGGUUAGGCAUCCCGACCUCAGCACCUCUUACCGAAGUAGGGGUCGGGCUUCCCGAUACCUACGCCUUGUGCAAGGACAAGGCAGAGGUCGGGAGGCCCAACCUCCUUGCCUCUGCUCGAGGCACGAAGGUCAGGAUACUCACCUCCGCUUAAAACGUGAAGAUCGGGAUGCUCGACCUCCGCCUCCAUUGGAAGCACAGAGAUUGAGAAGCCCAACCUUUGCCGUCGCAUGAGCUGUGAAAGUUGGGACGCGCAACCCCCGCCUCCGCCCAAGGUGUGGAGGUCAAGACGCUCGUCCUUUGCUUUCGUUGGAGGCAUAGAGGUUGAAAAGCCCGAUGUCUGCUAUCGCACGAGGCAUUAGUCGGAAAAAUCUGACCCGAGAGGAGAUCUCAAAUGCUCUCAUGUCGGAUGAACUAAACGUCAUAUUUCGAGCCCUCCUAACAAGAGCCUCAAAGCAUGCCUUGAGAGGGGGGAGGAAACAAAUGACAGGAAAUAUAUUAAUAGUCAAUCAUCAUCUUAUACAUAAGCACCACAUGAAAUAUCAUAGAAGAAAAAAUGCCUAAGCCCACAUGGAUAAAAGUGCAAGGAAGAUCGUUUAGGGUUAUCUCCCCCUGUUGCAUCACUACGGUAUUAAAACAUAUGUCUACGCAUAGGCCUCAUCUGAAUAAGAUCUCAUUAUUUUUCCUCACAUGAAUUUCUUGCCGAAAAGGGAUAAGAAAAAAUUUAAAAUAAAAGGGAGAAAGGUGGAAUAUUGGGGACAGAUUUCUUGAUAAAUAUAAUAUAGCUUAAAACAAAAAUUCGCUAGAAAGCCACCCAUCAAAGCAGCAAAUUUCACGAAUAUGGUAAACACAAAAAGAAGAAAAAAAAGAAAGUACGAUUCAAGUUCUCAGUAAUGCAUGGGAACCCUACAGAAAAACGAAGUGGAAUUAAGAGCAACGAAAAGGAUCUCCUUGUCAGUUAACAAGGUAAAGGAAAAAACACAAAACUGAAUAUUCACGUGAAAAGUAUUAUAUAGACACAAACUGAAUUCAGAUUUGAAUAGUGGAGUGUACAAGUGGGUGAGCAUCAGAGAAGAAAUAAAUGCUGGAAAGAAAUAUACGGGCUUGGCAUGGUGAAGUCUGCACCAGUAAUUGCAAGACAAUGCGAAAAAGAAAACAGAAGAAAACAUAAAUUGAUUAUCACGAAUAUCACAUUAUCUUCACAACAGCAGCAUGCAAAUCUUACUGAAUAUGAUGAAUGGGAAAAAAAAAAGGAAAAGAAAGGGCAAAAAAGCAGCUCGGUUCUGUCAUCUCGAAAAUAGCUGGGAACUACUAAGAUUGCAAGGAGAGGAAGGAUCCUUGAGGCAGCUGCAAAAUUCUUCUUCAUCUGUCGGAAAAGGUGUUGGAAGGGGGUGGUCUGGCUUGAUGCCUACCUGAACAAGCUUUUUGUUAUUAGUAUAUAAAGGCAACAAGUCAUAACAACCAUAAUUUUUAGUAAUGAUAAAAACCGUUUUCUUUUUCUUUUUUUCUUGCUAAUAAGUACUUAUCAUCAUACAUCUUCAAACAUAUGAAAUAGGAAUUUUUGAAAUGAAGUUAAAAAAAAAAUAAUAGUAAAAAUUACGUAAAUAUGAAAACCACUUGUGCAAAUAUAUAAAUUGGAAAGCCAAGUUAUCUCUGGGUGUGUCCGGUACAACAUUAACUGACGCCCAUGAAAGAAAUAAAUUUAGUGGACAGGUAAAGAAGAACAACUCUAUAAAGCCAGUGAAAACAUAACAUCAUUAACUAAUAUCAACUUUGCUCUCCUACCAUCAGAUUACACUAAUAUUCAAUAAACAGUAUGUCACAAUACUGUCAUUCUAUUGCUUCCCCUUCAGAACACGGUUUACUUGGUUUACUAGGUUUACAGUACAUUACAAUAUUGUCAAGUCUGUAUGAGUUAGAUCAGGUCAAUUUGAAUCAAACUUACACAAGCAACACAUCAAGAAAUUGUUUUUCCGAAGAAAAUUAAUUACUUAAGAACUAUGCUAGACAUGAGGCCUUUCCAGGUUUGGUUCAGGCUAGGUUCGCUCCAGAUAAGAAGCCCAAAACCUGCACUGGUUGCCAUCCAGUUCUAAUUCCUUGAACAUAGUGCGGAUUAGUGUACGCUAAAGCAAUAUCUUGAUCAUGAGUGUGCUAAGCAAAAGCAAUCAUGAGUGGAUUGGUAAGAAAAUCAAGGUAGGGGAAUCAGAAUGGGGUGUAGUCCAAGCUUUACAAUGCAGAUUAGUGUACAUUAAAGACAAAUAUCAGGAUACAUGCAAGUUACAAGGCAGGAUGGAUGCUAAUCUUCCAGACAAGCACUCCUACAAGUGAAUUGAAGAAUAUUUUUUAUCAUGGGAUACAAAAACAAAAUAAACCACAUAAUUCUUAUUUCUCUCAGCUGAUCCCUUCUUUUUAACAAAUUUGGAUCCUUUUAGAAAUUGUCAACAGACGAAGGCUGCUUGAUAGAGACUUUCCUACUCUAUUUGGUUUUCUAAUUCCACUGUAACUCAACGCUUAGAAAUUAUGACAAAUAUCCAUGCAAAUGCCAAAAAGGUAUAAUUAAACUCAAAUUAGAUCCAAUUUAGACAAUACUAAGUUAUAUCACUAGGUGAACACCCAUUUGAUAUUUAAGGCUGACAAGCAAUCAAGUAUUUCAUCCCUCCCACUUGAAAAGAAAACAAAAACAAAAAAAAGAAGAGGUGGAUGGGCAUACAGCAGAAUACCAACCUUGUCAAUAUUAGUGUGAGCAGGGGUUUCAUACCGAGCCACUGUAACAGCUAAUCCAGAGCCAUCAGAAAGCUCAAAAACUGACUGUAUUUUUCUGCACAAGCACAUAAAGUAAGUUGGAAAGAAUCACUUUUAAUUCUUGCACUCAUUCAAGUAAUUACCCUUUUCCAAAAGUAGGUUCCCCAUAUAAUACUGCCCUUCUAUUGUCCUUUAGUGCUCCAGCUAAUAUUUCACUUGCGCUUGCAGUUCCUUUGUUCACCUAACAUAUUCAGUAAAGAAGACAGCACACUUAUCGACAGAAAAGAAAAUUUUAACAAAUCCUCCAUUUCCAAUAAAGCUGAAAAAAAAAGACCAACGCUUUAACAUAUAAUCAAAGAAGAACACUCUGACUGGCAAAAAUAUAUACACAUAGGUAGAAAAUAGGGAAACAUAGGAGCAUAUAACAUCCUGCAAAACCAAACUGCAGUGCUGCAGAAUACUAUAAUUUAAUGUUAUGGGGUUUCACUAACAAAAACGAAAACAUCUGUGGAGACAAAGUGUAUAAGUGGUUUCCUAGUUCUACAUUGAAGUGAUCACAAAGAUACAGGUGACAGCUUAUUUGAUUUGAACAUGAUCCUGAAGCAUCCAGACAGUUAUCUCUAGGAAAUAUGAUGUGUGUAAUCAUAGUGAAAAUUUUGACUCUUGAUCUGUCUGACCACACUAUAAUGACAACUCUACGACUGGGACAAAUAUAUCCAUUGCAUUUCAGUCUUUGACAAGGGUGAUAUAUCAAAAUAAUUAUAUUAACUACAUAAAUUCUCAGUUUAUAUGGUCCACUAUCAAUUUUGCAACACUUCCUCUCAUUGUGCAGUAUAAUACUAUCCAACUAUUAAUAAAGAUCUCAGGAGAGAAUCACAUGAGACCAUUUAAAAUUUAGAUGUGUAGAGAGAUCAGAUCAUACCAGCACAGUUAACGGUUCAGAUGCUGCAACAGUAUUGCUUCCAUCAGCCUCAUAAAUAUCUCGAACACCACGGUUAUCACAUAUAUACACAAUAACACCUUUGUCCAACCUAAAGAGCAACAAGUACCAAAAAAAAUAAGCUAGCAACAUUUGAUGGUUAAAUGCACUUGGUAUCCACACACAAAAAAAGGUGCAUAUCUUAACAAUCUUUCAUCUACUUUAUCAAUAAUAAUAGUGAUUAAAUAGAGAACAAUAAGAGGAAGAGAUAGAGUCCAGACUCCAGUAUGCAGCAUAACAUGACAGAUAAUUAAAACUUUCCAUCUCUGCCUUAGGAAGUCCACAUGCAACCAGCAUGCACAAAAUGUGCUAAAAUAUUCUAGAUAAAUAUAAUUCAUGAGACAAAAAAUGGAACAAAAGAAUUGUAAUAUCCAUUCCUACUCAGAAUCAUUCAUUUAUUAUCUUCAUUGCUUGGAAUCAUAUAAGACAAAUAGAGUCCUACUUGGUGGUAUAAGGUAGAUUAACAUCAUAGUUUUGAAAAUCAGUCAUUGCUAAUCAGACUGGAUCUAAGAUCAGACAUAGCCGACCCUAAACAGCACCAAAGAUUUUGGUGUCUAUUAUUUUCAAUCAGCAAGCACAAUAUUAUAAAAUAGCAUAUACAAUAACUAAAUGGUAGCAUAUUAUAAAACCAUAAAAUAGUGCAUAUAUGAAAUUAAAAUUUUACAAGAGUACCACAUCAUCAAAAUUUUGAAAGUGGUGAUAAAAAAAUAUGAAUGUUAGCUUCAAACUUAAAAUUUUCAAUUUCAAUGUAUUGAUUUAAAAAGUUGAACCAAGGAAUGAAACCCAGUCUUCGAAUCUGUAUCAUCCAAUCCAACUGAUCUGAUCCCAUGGAUGACUUCCUGUUACCAAUUGCAGCUUCUAAAGCCUUGUUUGGCAUAAAAAUAGAGUUCAUGACAAGGCUUCUUUUUCCCUUUAAUAGGCUGCUAAAGGAAAACUAUAAACAAGACAAUGGAGAAGAAUAAUGAGACCAAUUAUAUUUAUGUCAAGUUCACAACCAAUUUGAAAACCACUUCUUCUUCACCUAUUUGUUACCAGUAAAAUCAGGGAAGAGAUUUUGCAAGUCCUGCAGUUUCACUAGAGCUAAUCUACCAAUAAACCGGGAAUAUAGAUGGUUAUCCAUUAUUAUGUGAGUAAAAACUUGAUUGCUGGCAUUAAAAAAUGCCUUAAGGCAGCUGAUGCAUAUGCUAAUAUGCUAAUUGCAUGAAGAGAAAUAAAAGGUUGUUCAAGCAAUUUAUUUUUCCUCUGAUUACAUCAUCUCUAAGAUUCUUGAUUCAGUAGGUUAAUUUUCCUUUGUUGCAUUCUGAGGCAACUAUCAUGAGACGUUGAAAUCUACUUGGAGCUUUCUGUCAAUGCUGUGUCUGGAAGACUACAGUGUAUUGGAUUAUGAGUGUCUCUUUCUUUAGAAGUAUGGAGUUUUGCUUCUACUUUUCUGCUGUAAUUUACAAGAGAUUCUGGAACAUAGUAGUUUGUGAAUAUGUUUUGGUCCUUUGCAGCAUUUUUCUGGAUGGGGCUGGUGGAUGUUGGUUCGCUUUAUUUCUUUAAAUUUAUUGAUUUUAAUUGUUUCUGGUUGGUAGUUGGGCCUUGAAUGGCAGUUUUUUUGUUUGCUAGUUGCAAUGUACGUCUGUAAUGUGUGUAUUUUGCAUUGUUCUAGGAGGAUAUGAACCCAAUCUGGGACUCUUUGUUUGUAUUGUAUUUUAAAAUUUGUAAGACAAUAAAAAGUUAGAAAAAGAGGCCUCACAUAUAUACAACCAAGCAGUAUUUUCUGUAGCUGAAAUGAACUAUUAUAACAAAAAAUCUACAUCUGCUGCAGAUACAAGACUAUAUGCAUUCAUAAAUGGUUUGGCGAUUUUUUUAAAAUAAAGCCUAAUAUUUUAAGGAAUAAGCUAUCUGAAGAAGAUUACCAAAUUUUUGCAAUCUCGAUUCCUUCUGGGAAAAGGCCACCACUGUACAAAAGAUGGUGUAUCAAAAUCCAGAAGUUAUCCAAAGAAUAUCAAUAUUUCCUACAAAGGAUUACCUAUUGUUUCGGAGAUCCAACACAAAGGCUUUCACACCAUUGCUUCUUAAAGUUUCUAUGGCAUCCUUGACUGCUCCUGCACACAAAAUGUUCAAAGACACACAUAUAUAUAUCACAUAAUAAUUCAAGGUUUGAAGAUUGCACAAGAAUAAUACACAUAUGAUCUGUCAAAUAGUAAAUAAUUAAUUAAUAUAAUAUUUUAAAAGAAUGAAGACAAUUGUUUAGCAUGUGGACAAAUACAGAUGCAUCAUUUAGGCUUAGCUGCUUAAAGGAUAUUUCAUCUGUUAAUAUCAUUGGCAGUAUCCAGAGAAGAAGACAUGAUGGAAACCAGCAUAAACAUAAGGGAAACAUAAAAAUGCAUUUCUUCAAGUUGAGAAUCUUUUCAUUGUUUUAAAUAACUUAACAAAAAUUAUGAUAAACUGAGGGACACAUUGAUGAUAAUUUAAACCUAUUAAUCUCCACAACAUGGAAACGGCAGAUAAUUCCUCCUGUUUAUCAUGGUUUUGUUAAUGUUUUCUCUAAUCCCAGUGUUCCUUGGGGCGAUUCUGCUCAUCAUGUGCUGCCUAUUUCUUUCACAAGAAAUUUCAGUCUUCAUGAUAUGAUGGAGGUCAAACUCCCAAUCCAUGAGCCUGAUUUAUAUCACUGAUACGGAAGGGUUCCUUGUACAUAAACUAAGGUGAAUAAGGGAGUGGCUCUUUCUCUUGCUAAUUGUUGCUUUGACCACAAUCACCCUUCAGCAGAUUGUAGUGUAGAAUUAGGAAGGGAAUUAUAAAAACAAAUUAUAUCUCAAAUUGGAUAAAUUUUAUCAAUGAAGCUCACUGUCUCAUUUUAAAAUUUUAUUUCAGAAGAUGAUUAGAUGAGAAUAAAUGCAAUGUAAACAGCAAAAUAUAUAUAGAGAGAGACCUAAGAUACAGAUUGUUGUGUACAGCGAAAAAAAAAAAUAGCAUCAUGUCUGAAUAUUUAAAAGGCAUAAGAGACUUUAGGAUGUCUAAAGUUUGGUUGCGAGAUACACAGUGAAACUUUUGACAUGCCAAACUUCUCCACUUGUUGGAAAAUUUGUUAUGGCACAUAAGGUAUUAAAAGGUGCUGAUCAAAGUUGACUAUGGUAAUUUGGUAAAAUCAUCAUAUGCUGGAACCACAACUGCAUAUUGUUUGGUACUAUCUGAUAUAUUAUGUUGUCAGCAUUAAACAGUCUACAAUCUCUCGAGAAUCAACAUCUGUGUGAAGGCAAAAGAAUUGGACUUAUCUAGCAACUUGAGCAAAUUAUCAUUAGGUAAUUUGGAUUUAAAUUUUUUGGGCCAUGUUGCAGGCACACCAUAUGAACUGUUUGGGUCAUGACAAAUGAUAUCAAAACAUCACCACUCAGGCAUGUGGUUCAAGCCAGGAUUUAAUGUGCAUCAUGGUGAAACCCUCAUCUAGUUGUGAGACAGCAUCAAAUACAUCGGUAGCAAUAUGGUAAGUUAUUAUUGCCCCAAAUAUAGGAGGGCUUUUCUUAGGGCCCUAAUUAACUGACCAUGUUGUCAAUGUUUCUUUAAUAGACUCUUUGGGUAAGCAACACCUCGCAACAACAACAACAUCAGAGCCAGCUCAGAUAAAACAUCAACAUAUAGACAAUGCAAUAGAUAAAUGACAGAGACAAACUCAAGAUGAUGUUCAAGUAAAAAUGAAAUUUCCUGAAUGACUAUAAAGCAUAAGGUGGUGUUCAAACCAUUAGAUUUCUUUUUUUCCAAAUUGAUGCCACAUUUAGGUAUAUAUUGACAG
rnacentral:lncRNA from 1 species